rnacentral:lncRNA from 1 species
AUAUAUAUAUAUAUAUAUAUGAGGUGUUGAGUCACUCCAUUCAUUGCCAAUUGAUUUUGACACAAAAGUCCAACUUAUUUUAACAUAUUAUCAGAGUUGGGCCUUGUGUUUGUUUGUCAUUUCAUGGGUUUGUUUGUUACUCCGUUUAUUUCAUCCGUGACUUGGCUCUUGCUCUAGUUUAAACCCAUUUGUCAAGUCACGUUUGCGAGAGGGUGUUAGUUGAAUAUUCCAGAUUGAUAUUUUAAGAAUUUUCAAUCAUAUAUAUAAGGUGUUGAGCCACUCGACUAUUGCCAAUUGAUUUUGAAAUGAGAGUCCAACUUAUUUUAACGGAAUACAUUUGAUAGGGUGUGAAGACAGGGUAUGGUUCUUCAGGAUAGUAGCUGCGUGUUUUGCUUGGAGGUUGAAGAGCCCAUAGAUCAUAUUUUCUUUCAAUGCAGGGUUGGGACCUGGGCUUUGGGAUGGGGAUUAUCAUUUCAAUGCUUUAGCAGUGUAAAUAGUUAGCUGUUUUUUCCCCCCUAUCUAACUUUCUUGCGGAAAUAAAUAAAACAUCUUUGAUUCUUUUUUUUUUUAAGAAACAAGUGACUCACAUACUUAUUCUAUGAUUAACAACUUAGUUUUAGCAACGUGACACGUGCGAUGACUGUUGGUUCGCCCAAAUAUUAGGAGUGCAUUACUCAUUUUGAUUCAUGUGCUGAAGGAAAUUGUAGAGCAAACGUCUAUCUAAUGAUCCAGCCAUUAAGAUAGGAGCUGCAAGGUAUAAAACGAUCAGAAUGAAUUAAAGUUCUUGACAAAUUUAACAAAAUUAAUGCAAGUGUCCACCAAAACGGCAAGAGCAACUUGAAACUCUUGAUCAUUGAUUGAAUAGCCAAGAAGCCUUGUUGAUGCCUUCGUUAACUCAUUCAACGUCAGGAAUUGGGCAAUUACGACAAUUAUCGCCAGAAAUGCUUCUUUUUUUUUUAUUAUUAUUAUACCUCUGAACCAAUUUCUUUACAAGCGUAGACAGAAGUACAAAAAAUGUCAUAUAUCUCCGUCCAAACAAAUGGAGAAAAUACAUAAAGAAUUUAAUCAAUACUAGUAAUUUCUAAAAAAAGAAUUGGGGCCCAGAAGAAAGAAUGAGCUCAAUGAACCAAGUAUGUAAUAGCCAGCGCAACCACUAGAAGAACAUAGGCAACCCCUUGAUCAAUUGCAGCGCCUGCAUUCAAAACCAUUAAGAAUAGAUUAAGACUUAAUUGACAACAACUACCAGUAGCUGAAAAAUGCUAAAAGUAAAAGGCAAAAAUCGAAUCAGGACUUGAUUAGAACAAGACGAAGAAUAUGGAAAAGGGACUCACCAUCAUUAGAAGGAGGGCCGAUCGGUGCAGGGGAAGGGGCCGUGAUGCUUUGUCCACGGCUCAAUUCAAAAAGCGCCAACAUGAUGAAACCGAUAAUUGGAAGUGCAAACGAUCUGGCGGAGUUCAUCCUGUCUAUAAUUGGAAGAAACAGAGUAGUAUUCCAAAGGGGAGCAAAAAAAAAAAAACAAAACAAAAAAAGGAUUGAAUUGUCUGUGAGGUUGAAGGGAAGAAAAGUUGAAAGAAUUGGCGAAAUGGGAAACUGAGGAUGGGAGGACGAAUGAAGAAAGUGCGGGAGGUCCUAUAUAUAUAUAUAUGUGUGUGUGUGUGUGUGCGUGUGUGUAUGUAUCUAUACUGGGGGUAAGGGACAGGGGGGGGGGAACGUGGGUACGGAGUUGGUUAGAGGGCAAAAACAAGAAAAUGAAGGUUCUGGGAAAUACUAGCUGGAGAGGAGCAGGAGUGAGGUAAAAGGUACGCGCCAAACUAGCACGGUGUCUAUAAUUUGACGACGCGGCUGGCGGCUCCAUUGACCCAAUAUUAUUAUUUCCUGUGGGAACUGGGAAGAAAGGAAGCCAUGAUGGUGGGGCGGGGAAGAGUGGUGGGACGGUAUGAUUGGUAGGACGUGGACGUUAGUUGAAGAAUCGACCACUUCAUUGUUCUAGAAGUCAAAUUAGUCAGCCAAAUGAUAAUACCCCCUCCAACGCCAAAUUUGCCUCGUUAGUUAGUGCAAAGAAAACUAGAAAAGAAAGGUCUUUCUCUGCGACACCACACGGAGAAGAGAAAAGGAAAAGGAAAACAAAAAUAAAGCAGGGGAAAAUGGUCUUGGUACCUAAUUUUCAGUUUUUUGUAACAUCUACCACAUGGCAUAUGCUUGCUUGUUGCUUUCCAGAUGUUAGAUUAUUGGUACGAGUUUUGCAGCAGUCACAGUUAGGCAUCGUCGUUUAGAUCUUUGAGGCUAAGCAAACUUUUCAAAAAUUUUCAGACUUCUUUAAGUCAAGAAAGUUUAGUCCUAUCUACUUGGUGGCUGUUGCCUCUUCUUCUUCUUCUUCUUCUUCGGGUGUUAAAAAUACGAGGGGAACUAGAGAACGGGGCUUCUGUGUCAUAUCGCAAAUGGAAAGCGCCAUCUGAGAACGGGCUGGGAUUCGGGAAUACAGAGCCAUGUGACAGAUGGGGCACCCUGGCGGUUGCCAGUCUCUGCAAGAACCUUGGGCCAGUUUUUAUGUUCACAGUUUCUGGAUUGACUACAAAACUACUAUACAGAUGAUGGGCCGGGGAAGACUUCUAGUGUUGGGCCGAUGAAUAACACAAAUGAGACCCAGCUGAUACAAGGAAGCCACCAAAUUCUGUAAUGUUUAAGGAAGAGUCGGUAGCAGUAAUUCCGUCGAAGGAUUUGCCUUCUACAAUGUUGCAUAAUUGUAACUUGAAAACAAAUUUGAUUACUUAAAUCCUUCUCGACUAAGAUCACCGGAGAGAUUAGAGAUUAUACAUCACCCGUCCAGUCUUACUCGGGCAUAUGCAUCCAAGAACUGUAAAGAUUAGACAGCUACAGGCCUACAAUUCUACCAAAGAGAAGGGGAGGCUAAUAUUUGGCAAAUUGUAGCUAAAAGGUGACCAAAUCCUAGCUUUAGAAGAAACUGAAGUUUGUAUAAUGUGUAUCUCGUUACAGAACUCCUUUUUACAUAGCCAUCCAAAAAAAAAAAAGGAACUGGUGGUUUAUCUGAUAUGAAGAGCAAGAAAGAUAUUGUGCAUGGGCAUCAACAAACCAUCGUAUCCAGAUAAUUUUUGACCCAAAAUGAUGUGAUUUCCUAAUUGCAUUCCAUUGAUUUUCUCUGCUCUACAAGAAGACCUGAACAAUCCUCGACCCAUUACUAGCUUGCACUUGCAGGGGCAACUUCAAAAUGUGAAAUGUGACCUACCAAGAAGUCAAGUGUGCAGGUAAAGAGCAAGUACAUCUUCUCACAUCUUACCUGGAACGGCAUCAGUUCUUCUGUGUCUUUUUAUGGAACCCCUGACUAGGAACUGCAUCAGCAUCACCCCACUCCCUGUCCCCUAAACCAGAAAGGCCGUUUAAACAAAAAGCCGCCCUCGUGUACGUACAUAUGAUCCAACACAAUAUCAGUCCCUGUUACUAUCACACUUGCGAAGGAAACCACCAAAAUAAGACUAUGUCCAAUGCCUUUCCGAAUAUAGAUUUGCUUUCCCCUACAUCAUGCUUUAAUGAGAAAGUAGAAACCUUCCUGGUUUGAUUCGCUGGCAAAUAAUUGGCCCCUCAAAGUUCAGCUCUUCCCUAGACAGUCGCAACAAAACAUAGAAGAAACUUUUUCCUUUCGCUGUAAAAGAAUGUCCAUUCAGGCAAUUAUGAGACUUUUCACUCUUGCAGUUAAAAAGAUUUCCAUGAUAAAUUUGGGAUCAUCAGUUUCAUAUAUACUGAAAUGAAAAAAACCAAGUUUACACAGUGUUAGUAAGUAGCAUUUAUUAUGCAAGAAGUGAUUCUCCAGUCCUAGAAACCACUGAGUUUAGCUCAAUAGCCACCAUGGAGGACUUAAGUCCUUCCUUGGGCUGUAGGUAAGGGUUCAAAUCUCACCUGCAGCAAAAAAAAAUCUAAGGAUAGCGCUAUAGCAUUCCAUUGAUUUAGAUGGGUCCGUAGCCCCUAACACAAGCCUCCUUAGACUCUUCUUUCCCUUAGAUUAGGAUAGAGUAGGUUAUACCCUAACACAAGCCUCCUUAGACUCUCCCUUCCCUUAGAUUAGGAUAGAGCAUGUUAUACAAUGCAUCGUUACUGGUAAAAAAAAAAAAAAAAGAUUGUCCAGUCCUGGAAGCAACUGUGGUAGUGUGUCUGGACAAGUUUAUAACUAUGUUUUAACUUAUCAGGCCAUGGCUCAGCGAGAGUUAGGCAACUGUGACUCAUUUCGUCGGACAAAGACAAAUCAGCUUACUUACUAAGCAAUUACAACAGGACGCCUUGUACCGUUAAGCAAGGCAAUCAUACCCGAAACUUCCUAACAUCCCUCCUAUGCUAUAUACGAUGCCAAAAAUUCACAAAACCGUACAAAUAAGCUACCAGCAUAUUAAUACAAGAGCAAGAACAGAAGAGAAAACGAUAUCAGGCGGAUUCAAGCAAGAAGAUGUGCCAUCAGGACGGGGGAUAUUCAUAUGCAGACUCGAGGAACUUGGAGGCGCAAAGGAGAAGGCGUGGCUUCCUGGAAUCUGGUGAGAUCGAUGACUAUAUACAAAGAACAACGAGAGCGUCUGAAUCUUCAGGACGAGCAAACGUGGCGAAGCUGCAAUGCCUAUGUUCGCCCACCCAUCAUCCAGGCUCCUUUAGGUGCAGACAGCAUCAGGCUAAAUAUGUGUGGGGGGCGAGGUUGUGCAGGAGUUUUGGAAGCUGAGUAGAAGAAAGGAUACAGUUCAGUCCGUGGAUGUUCACAUGUAACAACAUUUCUGUGGUUCACAGGAUGGAGAUUUAUAUCAUCAUGUAUACAAGUUUGCUGCCUCUGUCCAAACACUUCGCUCCUUCAAUCCCCAGGAUCCUCAACCAAAUGCUCGUUGCUGUACUUUCAAAUUAAUUAAUUGUACUGAAUUUUAGUCUCUUGAAUAAAAUUUUUUGCAUCCAGAUACGGGAGGAUACAAAGGCUUGAAAAUUAGUCCAUCAAAUAAGAUCUCAAACAACUAUCCAUACGCUGCAAUUGAGUCCACGGCUUGGAUUGCGAAUGAGUUUGCGUCUACUUUGCAGGUUCCUCAGUGUACUCAGUCAUGUGAUAAUCGUCGGACUACACGUCAGCCGCUAAUAAACCUGCGGCAAUUCGACUCAUUUCCGCCAGACAGUCAUCUUUGCUGAUCUUCCCUUAUCCUUUUACUAGUUGAAAAAGGCCGUCAUUCGUUUUCUUUUCUUUUUUUUUUUUAUAUACUUUUGUCCAGCAAAACAAUUCCCAAAAUGAAAAAAAAAAAAAAAAGUUCCCAAUGACGCACUAGACAUUAAAUACUCUGAAGUGGAGAGCGGUGAUAUGACAAUCCAGAGCAGGGGUGGGCAAAAAAAUCCGAAAAUCCGAAAACCCGAUCGACCCGCCCCGAAAAGUAGGGUAUCCGACCCUAUUUUUAUCAACGGAGCAAAUAGGGUCGGGUACCCAUAAAAUUCGGAUACGAAUACGGAUCACAAAAUCUAAAAUCCGCGGGUACCCGACCCGGGAUAUAUUUUACAAAUAUUAAAAAAUAUAGGGAUAAAUUUAUAAUAUUUUAAAGUUAUUAACCCUAAGUUCCUAACAUAUCCUCACUUCAGUCGACACUCCAGCCUUCAGUCUUCACUUCAGCGCCGCCGCAACUUCUUCACCUUCAGACUUCACUCUUCAGUCCUAGUUUUGGGCUUCUGGACCUUCAAUUUCUCAAGUCCCAAACACUCAAGUUGUACAAGUGCAACGCCAACGCCGACCUAGUCGAUCUGCAAAUCCAUAGCAAAGAAUUUUUGAAUUGUACCAUGUUGUUUAAUACAUCCGUAUAGGUUUUGUUUCUGUAGUUUCGGCAUGGAGUGCUAGAAUUUUGGUAGAGGCAUCAUCAAGGAAGUGAAUUUUGUGUUAAUCUUCGAGGUAGCGUAGUGUAAUUUUAGAGGUAAACUCUUUUCCAAAAAUAUUUCCUCAUUGCGGCAGGAAUUCUCAGCCUAAUAGCUCUUAGCUUUUCUGGACCAACAUGUCUUUGGAAGGCUGAGGUAUACAGCGUUUUGUAGGUUUACAAGAAUUGUGGUGUAUGGAGACCUUCAGAAGAAGUACAGUAGCAUAGCUUUGUCUGGAUAAAGAUUUUUCAGAAGUGCCCUGUUCCUUGGAGAGUUGUUUUUUCCACCUGUGCUUGUAGUAAUUCUUUUACGGUGGAAAGUAGUUGGUGCUUGUACCUUGUUAGUCUAUGAAAUAACAUCUCAAGUCUGCACGUUCCCCCUCCUUUUUUUUUUUUGGCUUUUCUUAUGCUUCAAUGAAAUUGAAAUUCCUUUUCAGUGUGCUAAGAAAUCCUCGCGUGUGUGUGUGUGUGUGUGUGUUCGGCUACUUCAGCAGAGGACUUCCAUUAACCUCAAUUCUGGCAACUAAGGUAUUUGGUUUUGCCAGAAAGAAGACCGUAGUAGCAGCCAGGUUCAUCUUCUAAGAUGAAAUUGCAAAUUUCUUUGUUUUGCUAUUGUCUUUGUCUUUGCAUUCAUACAGGAAUUCGCAUUCUUUAAUAGGGGCGGGUACCCUAUGACCCGCCCCUAUUUUUCGGGUAUCCGAAGAUCGGGUACCCGAGGGCAAGCGGAGCGGAUUAGGGUCAAAAAAAUAGUGACCCGAUAUGUUAGGGUCGGGUCAGUCAUUUGACGUUCGGGGCGAAUACCCGACCCGUGCCCACCCCUAAUCCAGAGUGAUCUCCUUAAAUGCUAAUUCUUUAGGUAAAAUUAGGAAACAAGAAUUUAAUGGAGGUGUCAAGCAAAGAGUUUAUUUGGACGGUAAAAAAAAAAAAAAAAACUUUUCAAUUGCAUCGUAAACAACCAUUCAACUUUGGCUUAGUGACCACAAAAAACAGGACUAAAAAAUUUCUAUUUGAACUGUAGGUAGGUGAGGGAUUAAAUUCUACUUGCAAUAAAAAAAAAUUUAAAAGAAGUGUCAAAGCACCCCUUUAGUCUACUAGCUCCCUAGCUUAAGAUAGAUUACGUUAUAAAAAUAUUUUUUUUCUCUUUAAAUUAGGAAAGAUUACGUUACAAGAAUGUUAUUAGAGCACCCUUUUGGUCUACUAACUCCCCAGAUUCUGAUAGAUUAGAUUAUAAUAAUGUUAUCACCUUUAAAUUAUGAUAGAUUAGAUUAUAAAAAUGUCAUCGUUACUGUAAAAAAAAUUGCGUCUUUUUCAAUCAGCUUUCAUGUUCAAACAAACCCAAUACAGUGAUUGGCUUGUAAGCAAAUGGACGAAAAUGCGGAAGCCAAAUGAGCGAUACGGUUGACGUUAAAUCAUCUCACCUUAUCCUCUCAAGGACCAGUAAGUAUUUGGCGCAUUUUCCCCCAAGGAGGAAAAAAGGAAAACGAGAAAGAAAAAGGUGGGUAUCAAAUGACUAGGAUAUUACGACAUCUCUAUCGGGCAUGAUCUGAGCAUGUACCUAAUUCAAUUGAACUUUAUCCAAUGGAUUAUGACAUCGAAAGAGAUACACAGACAGGCAUCAAUUAAUUACCACAUCCACUCCAAUCGCUUAAGAAACUCGAACCAACCCUGUGGGAUAUCUUUGAAUCAUUAACAUAACAUGGCCAGGGGGAAAAACGUAGAGAUGAAUUAAAAAGUUCCCAGACCUACCGUUACCCUUACCCACCUGAUGGAAGUGGAACCACUCGCUCAAUUCAUUUAUCAAUAAAAAUAGAAUAUUGCCAAGUGAAUUUUAGGUCCAAUAGUUAUUAUUUAUUUGUACCGGCUGCCAUGCCAUCAUUAUCGUUAUCCUGAUCCUGCUCUAGAAAUUUUUUUUUUUUUUUAAUUUUUACCCCGUUGGCCUUUUUCACGGCGCAUUAAUCUCAUCGUUUAGAAGGGGAGCUGGUUAAGUGCUGGAUGGUGGCAUCCAUAUUAUGUGAUGAUGAUAAUACUUACUAGUAGUCUUCUGUGUAUUGAUAAAAAGGUUAUCCUCCUGGAGAUAAUUCUCGUACUAAAGAUAGAAAAGGAGGCAAUUCCAACUUGUAAAGAGGUUUCUUCGUCGAUGGCUCCUUUGCGUUAGAAUUUUCCGUUUUAAAAUAAUCAUCAAAAGUUAGAUGGAAACGAGAAAGACAACUAAUGCAAUUAUGGGUGUGCGAUGACAGCUAAAUAAUGAAAUUUCUCUUCAGCCGAAGCCGAAGGAAGCCGCUUGUCGUCGAGUUAUGGGGGGAGGCACAGCGGAGAGGAUCUGAAUCCAUCGAGGUUAAUAGUAACAUAAAGGACAAAAUCCAAUCCAUCGUGCUUUACACAACCAAACUGGCAGGUGGAUCCCAAGUGCGUGCAUCUAGUACUCUACCUUUAACAUCUGACUCCACGGAGAUUGCAGUCAUGCAGAAAUCCAGGAUCCAUAUUAAAACUGAUUGUGCUAUAUAAUAACCAUGCCUGAGAUUGCGAAAAAUAUAAACUGAAACGAGGAUGUAAAAAGGCAGCCAGGGUAAUAUUUGCCGGUUGAUCAACAAUCUUAGACGUAAGAAUAUACAAGAAAAGUCAUACACACACACACACACACACAUAUAUAUAUAUAUAUAUAUAUGCUGGCUGGCUCCAUGAAAAAGCAGCAGUUAUAUAAUAUUGCCCCUUUUUUUCAUGAAAUUGCCAAGAAGUUUAUGCAAAAACAGAGGCAUCAUCACACAAGGAGGCAAUUAAUUGAUUGAGGACUUAAUACUAGUACAAGGGCUCCCUGAUCAUGUGGAUUCAACCGAUUUGGGAGAAAGAGAAGGGCUGUUGUUAUGGACAGGCAUGGACUUUGAUCUCUUGAAAUAGGCAGUAGAAUUGGAGCGGUGAAACCUGCACCUGAACGAUCCCUGAUGAGUCGUGGGCGAGCAGAGACACUGCUGCUGCUGCUGCUGCUGCUGCCCUUUUGGAGACGAAGAAUUCUGGCCGUUGGCACUCUUGGGGGAUGUUGUGGUUUCCACCGUAAUGCCACCGCCAGCUGGGCCGCGGGGGUGGUGGGAGGAGGCCAUUUAAUUACUACCAGAGAGAGAGAGAGAAUGGAAGAAAACCAUAUGAUAUGGCAAGAGAGUCUUGUUGUGGUGCAUAUGAUAUAAGAAGAGGAGAUCUGAUUCUCAAAUAUAAAAAAGGUUUAUCCCCUUUUGGUUUUGUGGGUGGAGGAAAAAAAAAAAUAGAAUACUAACAAAAAGGAAUUAUCUUCAUCAAGUGUGAGAUCAUCAAGUGUUAUUAUGGUGUGGCCCUUUUCUCCUUACUUUUUCUUCUUUUAUUUAUCAAUUUCUCAUUUUUUUUUCUCUCUUUAGUGGAUUUUCCUUUUAUUUAUCAAUUUCUCAUUUUUUUUUCUCUCUUUAGUGGAUUUUCCACUUUACCUCCUCAAAAUUCGUUAUCGUUUUACUUUCCUUGAUUGGUCUGCAUUUCUAGGGAGGGGCUACUGUUGAUUUCAUUCUUGGCUUUUUGUGCGCAGAACUAGACUACUGGUCUUCAAACGUUCUUCCCAUCCCUGGGAACGGGAAUGGAGCUGCAGCCUACAGUGCAGCCCCUCUCGAAUGGACGCGGGGCUGGAGCGAUUGUCAGAACAACCGCUUCGAAAGGUGUAACAUCAUUUGUACAUGGUAUAACAUUAUCUGUACAAGGUGUAACAAUAGAACAACAGCGAAUAACAUUAGAACAACAUUUUUGUGGGUCCCACACGGCGUGAAAAUCGAGUUACAAGACGUGAUCUGAGCCGCACAAAUUUUUGAAGCCUCAUCCAGGCCGUGAAUUGCCUGGGACGGUUGUCAGAGACAACCGUCCAGGCCCCUCGUCCCUCUCGACUGGGACGAGGGGCCUGGACGGUUGCCUAAUCGUCCCAGGCCGUGAAUGACAACCGUCCAGGCCCCUCGUCCCUCUCGACUGGGACGAGGGGCCUGGACGGUUGCCUAAUCGUCCCAGGCAGUUCACGGCCUGGAUGAGGUCUCAAAAAUUUGUGCGGCUCAAAUCACGUCUUGUAACUCGAUUUUCACGCCGUGUGGAACUCACAAAAAUGUUGUUUUAUUUUACUCGCUAUUGUUCAAUUGUUACAUCUUGUACAGAUGAUGUUACACUAUAUACAAAUGGUGUCACACCUUCCGGAACGAUUGUUCUGACAAUCGCUCCAGCCCCGCGUGCUCUCGACUGGUACUUGUCAGAUGACCCCAUCUCAUCGUAUCGCGAAACUGCCAAUAUUCUUGUCACUCCCUGCAUAAAUUGCCCAAAGAUAGUUGGGACACGGGACGUUGAGUUAAGUGGUCCAUAGAGAUAGAAAGAGUCAUGCUAAUCUCUCAGCCGAGAGGCACUUUUGUGCAUUGAUUAUUAAUUAGGUAAAUUUCUUUGGAGCGAGUGCAUAUUCGAUUUGUUUUUGCCAAAGCAAAGGGUUCGCUGAGUAAAGCACUCUGUGGAUUUUUUUUUAAUUAAUAAAAGAAUUCGCAUUCGAGUGCACUGCAUAAACCCCAGCCUCGUUUGAAAACCCCAGCCCUGUUUGAAAGAUGAAUUUUUUAGGUGUUUAUCUAAAAUUUUACUGUAAUUUAUGUAGAAGUUUUUAAAAAAAUUUUUGAAGUGUGUUUUUUUUUAAAUAUUUUGAAGUGUAUAGUUUAAAGUUUUAAAAAGUUUUUUAAGAUUAUUGUAGUUAAUUUUUAAAAAAAUUAUAACAAAUAAACUUGACAAAAAAUUUGGCUUCCAAACAAGACCCCGUUUCUGCCAAUUAUAUGGAGGGCAUCGGAGUAAUUUGCGAAUUGUGAGUGCAAUGGGUAAUUCUAGCAUAUUUUCCGUUCUACUUCCCAUCGGAUGUGACCCUUUGAAAUACAGGUGACACCUAAUUGUGGUUAGGAUAGGAUAAGACUAACGAACAUUGAAAGUUUAGUGAAGUAAUUUUAAUUUAGCCCACAAACUAGUAGUAUUAGCUACUAACCAUGGUUGGGCUUAAUUAACACACCAGCUGUAACUAUAAGGCACGGAACAAAAUCCAAGCAAGCACGUGGGAAUGCAAUGGGGAGAUGGGUCCAUGAAGAGAUGAUGUUCCGUCUGGGACAUCAUGUUUGGAUCUGCGAACACGUAUUAGAUUCUAUGAUCCUGUCUCUAUCAACAAAGACUAGUACUCUAUUAUCAACUCCAGGGGUAAUAGUUAUUCAAUACUACUCUGUCUAUUACCAGAAUGAGCAACAGUCCACAGUUCGCACUAGUAGAUUGUCCGUCACCUCCACGCGUUUCUUCUAGCAAACAAAUCUGGCCUACGUGAAAAUUCAGAUUUCAGACGAAUUAUGUAGAUAUGGUCAGAGGUGUGAAAGAUGAAUUAAACUCCCUCGUAUUCGAAUUGAAUUUGAUUUGUUUGAAUGAUUUAUCAAUUAGUUAAGUCAAAUUUAAAUAGUAUUUUUUAUUUGAUAAAUUUUGAAAUUUGAUUUUGAACUUAGCUUGUUUAGUAUUAAAAUUUAAUUGUAAUGAUUUUAAAGUAGUCGAAUGCCCCGACGCAAGUUCAAUUGGAUAAAAAUUCGUUUGAGUCUGGCUUGACAAAUAAACAAAUUAAUAAGUUUGAACACAAAAUCAAGUUUGUUACAAUAAUCACACAAUUUUGAAUAGAUGUUUGGUUUUAAUUAAAUUGGUUUCCACCCCUAAAUAUCACGUUAAUCAAUGGAUCAUUGCCAAAUCUUUUCGUUAAAAAGACCACGAGUGUUUAUACAUUCACCAGGGGUUUGUAUAGAGCCAUAAGAGUAGCAGACGAUUUCUUUCUUCUAUUAACGAUUUCUUCAGAUUACAUCUCCCAGCGGGCGACCAUUCGAAAGGAGAUGAUGCUAAACGUAAUUAACGAUUUCAACCCGUAAUUAUCACUUGACUUUGAGGUUCACUCUAACUGUGUGAAAGUGAAACCAUAAUGCAUAUGUUCACUAAUCACACAAGACAACAAAAGAAAUGGGAAAAAAAAAUAAUUUGAAAGAAAGGGAUUUUAGAAACUACUCGAUCCCGUCAUUUUUCGAGGUUGCGGUCAACGUCAUUCAGAUAAUUUUCUCAAUUUGUAGAAUAUUCUUAACAAAUUAAUUCGAGGUUAUGUUACAUCUCUUUCUUUUAAUUAAUGUGAGCCCACACACUAGCUACACUAGUGUGUGUGGUACAACUUUUUUCUUCUUCUUUUUAUAAUCUGCAGUGCACAAGUUAUUGGACAGGUGCAAAACUGAGAAUUUGGUCAUAUGCCAAGUUCUGAACCUCAAAAGUCAAGAAACUUCGGGGGUCUCCACAUGUCGGCAGGUGCCGCAAAGUAAGGCGGUCGGGUUUAUGACCCUUCCUAGCACAAAAAAGUAUAUAUAAAAUACAAAGCUCUUAUGAAACUUCUACCUUGAUUAUUAAAUCAAAAUCUGAUUAACCAAAAUCAAGGAAUUCAUCUUGCACGCUGGCGCAUGAUACAACAAAUCUUGAAUACCACCAUGUCCUUUUGCUACCUACGUGAUAGAGAAGAACAAGGAGCCCUGAUGACGUGGCCUCCAGCUAAGCAAACCAAAAUCAGCAAAACCUACCAGUCAACGACAGAGCUUCAUUACCUAACGUUCUGUCUUUUCAAUUUUACUAAUAGGGACAGGGGUGGUUUUCUAGCGUUGUGCUUCCUUCUGGCUAGCUCGACUACUUAGAUGUUAAGCAAAAUCCGUGGUUUCUUUAACCAAUCUUAGACUUUUGGUUAUCGCCCCCCCAGAAGAAUAUACUGCUGUACAAGGAUUGCUAGUGUAACUCUUCCUCUCCUGAUUGAUUCCUCUGUUCUUUUGUUGUAAACUAAGUUCUUCCGGUGGUGGAAUUAACCGAGUUGAUGGCUCCAACGGGGAACAAGAAUAUACAAUCCAAGCUGGUGGGUAUGUCUUCCCUUUCUCUUUUACUGCUAGUACGGGAUUCUUCUUGCUCUCAUACUUGCAUGCAGUUCAUGUUUCAAAUACAGCGGUAAUCUUAUUAGGUUUCUUUGCUGGAUGUUUCUGGGAUGAUCGCUAAAACUCUUCUUAUACCUACCUCCCGGAGUUUGAAAUUUUCACGAAUUUUAUUCACUGAAGUUCUGAAAUUUCAAUUGCUUUUACUAUGUGUAUUGCGAUCCCUCUGGUUUUCUGCUUUUGAUUAUCUACUGUAAUUUUAGUUCGUCUGGUCAUGAUUUGCCCGAGCAAUUCCCUACUUCAGCAUGGUCUUCUGCAGUGCACAAUAAGAAAACUUGUUGUAUACUUAAUUGACUAGGUAUGCUGCAGAAUUAACCUAUUCAUCCCUUGUUUUAGGUGCUUCUUGGGGACAUGGGGACUGGGAAGACCAGUUUAGCAUUAAGAUUUGUCAAAGGCCAGUUCCAUGAUUUUGAGGUACACUUCAUUCAAUUAUGCUUUAUCUCAUUCUUUAUUUUAACUAUGUCUUUUGACGCCAUUGAGUGAGCUUUUAACCAUGACGUUCAGGAAUCAACCAUUGGAGCAGCCUUCUUUACUCAAGUCUUGUCACUCAACGAAGCUACCAUAAAAUUUGAUAUAUGGGACACAGCAGGACAGGAACGUUAUCAUAGUUUAGCUCCAAUGUACUAUCGAGGUGCAGCUGCUGCUGUUAUAGUUUAUGAUAUCACAAACGCGGUAUUGGCACUCACUUUUUUUUACCCUUUUUCUGUUAUUGAUUGCACUUAUGGAGAAGAACAAGUACUGAUAUUAUCAAAGGUGAUGCAAUUUUAACUAGCACUGACAUUGUCAAAGUUAAUGGGAUUUUCCCUUUUGUUUCCGAAGAGAAGAGGAGGGGAUCAUAAAGUUGAAAAGAACACGAGGGAACCAGUGGGAAUUUAAUCUGAAUAUAAUUGAUAACAUCACUGGCUAGCAAUUACUAUUUAGACUGACGUCUGCUGAAAUUGUGGCUUCAGGAUUCAUUUGAACGGGCCAAAAAGUGGGUUCAACAACUGCAGCGACACGGUAAGAUCAUCUCCAAACCUUUCUCCUGUUGCUUUUAUUCUUUUCUUGACAAGAAAUUGGAACUUAUACCGACGAUGAGUUUCCCUUUUGGCUGAAAGAAAACCCGGGAAAGGAAGAGAGUACAAAACUACUGCGUUUAUUCUGCAUUGGUUGUGGAAGGACUAGGUGCAGGUGUGCAAGUGUUGAGGGAAAUACCUUACCUCUUGAGCUAGCAUUUGGAGUGGGAAGGCUCAGGAACGCCUAACUAUAACUAUUACGUAUCAGCACAAAAUUGCUACUCAUCAAAAGAGAGGACGAUUUAACCCUGAGACAUAGCCCCGUUUGUCAGAAUCAAUCUUUCAUCACUUUUUUAUUUCGUUAAUUUGUCCAGCCUUGUAAACUUAUUUACCUUUACUGACAAUAUGUUUUGCAAAGAAACGAAUCGAACAGUAUUUGAAUUUCGUGAAAGCAGUCUGCAUUACAAAACUGAAUAGUAUAUGAAGCAGUUUGGAAUCUAAUUGCUUUACAUUUGGUAUUAUUGCAUGUUUUUGAUUGUUGAAAGUUCUUUCAUCAUAACUCAUCAUAUACUUUUGUAGGAAAUUCCAAUAUGAUUGUGGCUUUGGUGGCAAACAAGGCCGACUUAAGUUCAGACAGAACGGUGGAAAAUGAGGUACUUGUAGUUGGUUUUCCAAUCAAUAGCUUCACUUCAUUUCAAGUAGACAUGGAUAGCAUCCAAAAGUCCUAUUAUGAUUAUUAUUAUUAUUAUUUCCUUUCUUUCUUUGGUUAGAACAUUUUACUCAAGCUUCAUGAUGAUUGUUGGUAUAGUUAUUUAGACAUUUGUUGUCCGUCUAUUAAGCAUGCUUUUCUAUCUGAUACGUUUUCCUCCCUCUUCUUCACACACCCUCAAAGCCCUUUCCUUGAUUUUAAACUGAAUGAAAGUUCUCCCAUUCGUUAAUAACCUUCAGGAAGGGGAGCAUUAUGCUAGAGAAAAUGGCUUGCUAUUCUUUGAAACUUCAGCAAAAACUGCACAGAAUGUGAAUGAGCUAUUUUAUAGCAUCGUGGUGCAUAACUGCUGUCCAAUACCAUUGUUUCCUGAGGAGAUAAAAGGGACAGAAGAGGAAGAGAGAAGAGGGGGGAGGGGGGGGGGGGUUGUUCCUGCAUCUUCAUGUGUUACUUUUGAAAGCUACAAAUUCUUUGAUUGCUUUGGAUGCUUUGUAUACUUGUGCGCAUAACAUUAAUUUCCAAGUCGAGCACUAAUCUUCGGUGAAUAUGAUGGAUGAUAUUAGAGCCAGGUUUCAAUAAUAAACAAGAGAAUAAAUUGUAACAGAGAAUUGGACAUUUCCUAUGACCUCUCCCAUUUUUCUUAAUUAAUCAAAGUUUUCUGCCUAGUUAUGAUGGCCCUUUUCUCAUCUUGUGAAUGGGCAUUAUUUGCCCUUCCUUGCAACGAUCUUUAGUCUUACAUGUGCAAAGAACAAAACAGGGCCUCUUAUCGAGGAUUACAAGUCACUCCCUGCAGAUUGGGUCAAGCACCCAGUUCGACAAAGAGCAAAACGUACUGAAAGAAAAGGAAAAAUUAAAGAAAAAGGAAACGAAAAGAAAGUAUACCAAUCGAAGCACUAAUUUGAGUUUAGCAGAGCUAGCAACAUGCAUGAAAUUCAUCUAAAAGACAUCUCAUCGCUACAUGGGGAACAAAAUCUUUCGAAUCCAACAGAACAUAGGGCCAAAGUCCCUGCCCUCGGACUCAAAAAAAAAAAUAUAUCAGUUCUCGUGCUCUCAGGCAAUGAAGCUUCUACUUUUCUUGGGGCCUGGUGUGCUAUACCUAGAGAUUAACGGCAAGAGGCAUCCUCAUCAAAGUGGACAAAAGCCCGCAUAUACAACAUUGGCACAAAUUCAUAGGAAUCGGCACACGAUGUUUUAUCAAAAACAGGGAUUUUGUUGCCUGUUCUUUGGUCCACCGAUCAUUUCACGUGCAUCAUUACAAUCCCCACAAGUACAAGAUGAAUUAAGCGCUCGGUGUCUCCUUCCAAAGCCAGUAGAAAUGUACUUGGAUUAUGUAAAACAAAAGAUUGCCUCUUGAAAAUAUACACAAGUAGGCAAGACAAAACAAAAACUGUACUUAUUAGACGAAGAGAUGGACACUCGCAAGGCAACUCUGGAUUAGGAUAUAAGCGUGGCCUCGGCAAAAGAGCCAUGGUCAAGCCUAGAGGCAAAAGCGUUCGCCUGAAUAAGGGCUCAGAUUUCUCUUUUUAAGAGUACCUUUUUCAUCUUUUUCAUUCAAUAACAAGUUUCCAUUAAACAAAGUAAACACUGACGAAAAGAGAAAGAAAGGGACCAAAGCUACAUAGUGAACAGUAGAAAAAACUAACCUGGAAAACUAACGUGGGAAUUCGGAUACCUAAAUUUUUACCACGAAGGAGAAGUACACGGUGACCCUGAAGUUGAUGAAGACGAAAUGCCCUCAUUAUUGGAAUCACUACCGGAGGUGGCAAGGGAACGAGCGUCCCUCAAAGAAAUUGAACAUGCCUGAGCUGGAAGCUUUUUUAUCGGAGAUAAUGGAGGGGUCAUUGGAAGUGAGGAAGGACUAGACGCAGUCGUCGAUUUAGCAUUAUCGUUAUCAUCUUCUCCAGAAGAACAGUUGGUGUCUAGACGAGACGGUGAUGAAUCAGGCGUCUCAAAUGGGGUAGCCACCCUGCUAGGCCUGUUGCCAACAUUGUCAUAAAUCGGAUUGCUUAUGUAUAUAUAAGUUUCCUUGCUGCUCCCACCACAAAAUUCAUCGUUGCGAGUGCUUGUACUGUCAAGAGGUGCCUCAUGAAUGAGUCUUGGUGGUGCCAGGGGUACAAAGGAAGGCGAUGAUGGUAGAGAAAAGACAUGCCGGUGUAGUUCAUUAGGGCUAGAGGUCGGUUGUUGAUUAGGAAUCUGAGAAUCACGUUGCUUCUCGAGGUCCUCAUUGCUUUCGUUGCCAUAAACUGCGGGGAAGAGGAAGUUUCUUGGAGCAUGCAGAACGCCAUGAGCAUAGAAGGCACUGAGAGAUGGAGUUCCCGAAAGGUCCUGAUCAUGUUCCGGGGAGCCAUCAUUAGAGGUGGCGGCAGCUCUGGAGUUGGGAAUGUUGGAAGUGGAAGCUCGCAGUGGCCGUCUGCGGCGGAGUAAAAGAGAGCAGUAGAGCUGAGCCAACAGGACCAAGACCAGUCCUAGUACUAUGCCAAUGCUCACAACCACAAUUAGUGUUGCUCCCAUUAUUACCUGGGAAGUACCCUUCAUCUCUUUUCCCCGAGUGUCUGUGUGCGUUCAAGUCUGUGACUCUGUGUCUGUGUGCGCGUAAGUUAGGAAAUGAGAAUGGCACUGUAAUAAUUAAUAAAUGGGCUGUUGGAACCAUUGACGGUGACAAAAGAUUUUGGCGGGCAAAGCUGUCUUCGGUCUUUAACUUAUUUUACUCCAUUCACCUUUUUGAGCAUAUUUUAGUCUUGACCUGUGGCCUUUGGGCUCGUGACAAGGAAUUGGGAAUCUUUGCUGGGAAUUUUGAAUAGGAUUUUCAUUUUUUUUCUGUAGAAGUAGUGGUGAUAUGACAUAUGUGAGAUAAAAAAAUUAUUAUAAACAUAAAAAUGUGUAUUAGAAGAUGGAUUUAUGAUGCAAGAAAAUAACUUUUGAACAAGUGCGUGCUAUCCAAACACACUAAAUUGUCCAUUAAUACAAUUUUCACUUUCAAAUUCUGGUAUAAUCAGGUUAACUGAAGCAGUAUGUUAUUAAAAAAUGGGCCUCAGGCAAAUCCCACUUAUGGAAUCCAAAUAUCUUAUGAAAUGGCUUACGAGCGCAGAUCCAUAACAAAACCUAUUCAUUUUCCAUGCGAGAAUCACCCUACCAUGCCAGCCUUGCUGCACUUGGAAGUUCUAGCUCGUCAUCAUGGUCAGCUAGGGAACGUGACAAAAGAACGGCGUACAACUUCCCAGCAAAAAGAACUAAUUUCCUACCAACCAAUUAAGAGAUCUAUUUGGGGCAACGAACAUUUUUCCUUCUUUGUGAACAUCCCUCUUUCUACAGCCCACUCGCACUACACCUCCGGAACAAAGUAUUGGAUAUGUAAACAACUGUACUAGACAGUGACUAUAUUAAACAUAUCAAUUAUGCGGUAUAAGUUGAAACACCAAGGAUCAGUAGAUGCCUAAAAGAAGGAAUUAACUAAUAAGCUCCAUCUUAGUCUCCGUCCAACACAUCAUAUCGGGAAAAUCAGAUGGAUACAAUCUUACAACCAGGCACAGCACCAACUUUAGACACAAAUCUGUAUAACAUCUCAUGCGAUGAACUAAUAGAAAAAUGAGGCAGCACCAAGAAUGAGCAAGUACUUGUACCUUUAGUAUAAGUAAGAGGAAUCAAUCAGGGUUGAGCAAUGAAUUCGGUUUCUCCAACUAUUGCAGCUAACGAGCCUGGAAGUAAGCCAGUUGUAGGCAGCGGGAAGAUGGAUAUAAAAGAUAGAGAUGUAAACACAAACAAUUUCGCGUGUUUCAAAAGCCGUUGCUCUUUAUCGGCCUUUCAGUGCAGCAAAGCGAGCAGCCAAAUCAUCAUAAUCAGGUAACUUGGGAUGCACAUGCCGAGCCUGGCCAUCUGGAUGAAAGGACUUUGCACGGGUAAAAACCUUUUUGGCCUCUGAUUGAGUCGUUUCUUGACGAGGCAAAGAUAUAGAUCUAGUGGUGGUUGGUAUGACAUCUGCGUUCGAAUCAUGCCCAUCUCUCAUUCGAUCAUGAGAAGAUUCACCACUACCAUUACUUAUCUGAUGAGAUGGAUGUGCUUGAGAGCCUUUUCUCAUAUUUCCACCGCCAUAGGUUGAUGGUUUCUUACUGUAAUGUAGCAAAAGUUUAUCAAUCAUUCUCUCUUCUUCAUCUUUUUGAGAAUGCUCAUCAUCAAACAAAAUCUGCAAGCCCUUUCGCGAACUGUCCCUUCUCCUGCUACUGGAACUUCUUUUUACAGCUACAGCAUCUUCAACAUGAGCCAUGUCAUCAUGAUUGGAAGAUGAUUUGUGUUGCUUCCUCCUAAUUGAUCUUGGUUUUGGCAAGGCUAUUUUAUCAUCCUGAUAAUAUUGAUCUUCGCGAUGACGUUGACUUCUUACUCUGCCAGGCCCAAUAUUUUGUCCCUCAUGGCCAGGAUUAUAUGGCCCCAUCUGAAUCCUGUUAGAUCCAUUCUCUGAAGGUUCUGUAGAAUGCCCAUCACUGCAAGGACCUGCUAGCUCAGACUUUCUACUAGGUCUGUUUUUAUGGUCUUUAGGUUUAACAUAUGGAGGGAUGAGGUUGCUCUUUGAUUUUAUGUACGGUGGAGGAAGUAGAGCAUUCUGGUAGGAUUUUGAACUGUCUACAUCUUCCUGUUGAACUUUUCUCUUUGAGUUUGCCAUAUUCUUCUCCCUGACUUGCUCAUGGGCAACUGACAUAUCCUCAUUCCUUCCUGGAAAUCCCCCACAACUUGAACGCAUUUCUGAUUUUCCAUGAGAUGGAGCAUCCGAGCUCUCCCCAUCAUGCAUACUAGUGGAACCAUCAUCCUGACCUGAAUAUCCACCACUGAAAUCGUCUAGCCCUUUCCUACGUGAUGAAGUGCCUGCUUUUACAGCUUUGAACAAAGUUUCAUCCUUUUUCCAUGAUAAUUCAUGUUUGUCCACCAUCACUUCUUGCCUUCGCUCAAAUAAAAGGUCAUUUCUGACUUGUCUUGGAGUACUCUCUCCUUUCUUGGUUGGUGAUAUGUGUCUAUCAGUGCCACUUCCCAACCUUCCUCUGAAAUGGAGGUUCAACUGUUCUCUUGAAUCCUUAUCCUCUCUACCAUUGCGCAUUCCGUGCCCAUCAUUAAUUAGACCACGUGGGUCUUUAGGUGAAACAUCAUACCCAUCAGAUGUUGCAACAGCAACAGCAACACCUUCUCUUCUUGAAUCUGUAUCCUCUCUGUAUUUAUGAAUUCUAUGGCUACCAUGACUAAGAGCACGUGUUUUUUCAGGUAAAACAUCAUACCUAUCAUAUUUUGCUACAACUCCAUGUCCAUCUCCCCUUUCUGAUUCCUUAGUACCCCUGCGGUUGUGCAUUCUCUGGCCAUCAUUACUUAGACCACAUUUUUCUUCAGGUGAAACAUCAUAUUUUGCAACAUUAGUACUUCCAUCUUCUCUUCUUGAACGCUUACCCUCUCCAGCACUCUGCAUUUUCUGGCCACCAUUAGUAUGAUCAUGUGUUUCUUUAAGUGAAACAUCAUGUCCAUCAGAUUUUGCAACAUUUCCAUUGCCAUUAAGAAGAUUAAGUUCUUCAGCAGCAACAGGGAAGUUUCCAUGUUUAUUUGGUUUGGCCUGGAAGACAUCAGCCACAGAAAACACAAUCAGUUUAUAUAUAAUUGUCUUUCUUUCAUCCUUCUUUGGAAGAUGUAGCGGGAUACCAAAUUUUGUGGAAAACAAAAAUAAAGAAAGAAAGCCCAUUCAUUUAGUUUUCCCUGCUAGGUAGGAUGCUGCUUUUAAAAGAAUUAACAUUUUAAGUCUUUCUUCCCCAUCUCAUUUCAAUGAGUGACAUACCUGUACUAGUGUAGGUGGAUCAGCCAUCCUCUGCUCAAAGCCCCCAGAAUUCCAAUUUAUUGAAAACUCUGAUGCUAUAUCUUUCAGUAACUGGAGUCUCUUCUCCAUGGCAGGAGGCUUUGAAGACAAUAUCUCAACAAACUAUAUCAUUCAGAAAUCAAGCUGUCAGGCACAAAACUAGAGCUCUGAAACUAAAACGUCCCAACUAAUUGCCGAGAAUAACCUUUUGAUUAACAAAACAUUCUAGAGUACUUCCAUAUCUCUCCUGAAAUAGAUUCCUGAGAUCUCGCAAUUCAGGCAAAUCAGAAAAUCUUGCUGCUGCAAACAUCAGAGAAGCCACAGGCUCCCUGCACUCUUCUGGGCACUCUCUGGGAAGAAAACAAUUCGGAAGAAGAUUGUAAAUACUUGAGAUUUAUUAUAUUAAAAAAAUAAGAAGACGAAGAAAAAGAAGAGUAGAACUUCAUAAGAUAAAAGCCUGAAAACGUUGUCUCUUUAUUACAUGAUACCCUUCAGAUUGAACUUCCCCGACACGAGGAUUGAGACAUCUGAUGCUCAUGCACACAACAUUAAUUGUUCAAAAUCGCCAAUAUUGACAGUUUAGAAGCAUUCAAUUCUUUGGACCACUGGUCUUGUCAAUUACAUUGGUUCUAAAAAAAAUAGUACAUACAAAUAUACCUGAAAACAAGUUCUUAUACGGGUAUUUAAAAGUGAAUAUCUAUAUAUCCAAUGAAUCAUCUCCAUCAAAUGGUCCGUAUCAAACAAAUGCUACUGUGUUCAGGUAUCUCAAUGGGAAGAAUGUAUAGAGAAUUUUAAGCUUGACCAGGACACAAAGCUAGGAUGUUUUGACCUUGAAUAAGAUGUAAUAAAUGCAGAAGCUCCAGGAAAAGACAUAUCACCACAUACGACAUUUUUACUAACAAACUACAUUUCUGAAGGUGAUCCUGAAAUUAUGAUUUUAACGUUUAACAAAAAAGUAGUAUGGAGUUUUCACCAAGUCACUGACCUUUUUUGUACCAAAUGAGUAUACAUGCACUAUUGUUUUUAUUUUGAAACUCUGCCUUAAUCCAUCUGGCACUUAAAAUUGGUCUGUGCUCAAUUGGCUAGGAUGUUUUGUUUAGCUAAUCAAGUACAUAUAUAGUCCUCCUAAAUACUGUGAAUUGGUUCAAUGACUGCUGCAACCACGUUAUAUCAACUUAAAUGAGAAGCCCAUUAAGGUGAUAAUGCAUCUUUCUUCUGCCAAAAUAUUGCCUAUGGGCCAUUGCCUCAUUAUGUACUUUCAACUUUCUUUUCUUCUCCUCACUGUAAAGUAUAAAACCAUCUAUUUGUGUCAUUCAAAUUAUAAAGCUUUAACCAAACUAAAGAUUGGUCCCACUAGUGAGCUUCAGAAGCAAUCAAAUGAGUCAUCCGGUGAUUAGGAAAUGAGAACAAUUCACAGCAUUAGCAAAUUACAAAGCAUUAAAAAGAAGCAUCUUCCAAGAAUAGGAGACCAGAGAUCCUAAUCAUUCCUGGUAACUUCCUAUCAAAGAGAGAAAAAGCAAUAUUCCUCUUAAUCCUAAUACAAGAAAAGGACACUUCUGUACCACCUAAGUACCAGUUAAAUGACACGAGAUGAUACCAUUAAAGUAAGUGCGCAUGAAGUGCAAAUCAUGUAUCAACGAAAGCGCAUUGGCAUGUUUGUUUCUUUUGCGUAACUCUAAUCUAUGCAAAGUUGCAGCAGGAAAGUUUUGCCAGAACAUUGAUGAGUGCAUAUACAGCCUGAUCAAAAUCAAAUCCUAGCACUAAAUUAUAAAAUCUCUGCUGCUGCACUUUAUAGCUGCCCAUAAUAUUCUAGCCUGUGAUCAUAUAUCCCCAACACAAUGGAUUUUUCUUUUAAAUUUAAGAUGUAAGCUACAAAACCAAGCAAAUGCACAUACUAUAUCAAAGACAACAUCCAAUUUGUAAAGACAGCAGGAACUGCAAUAAAUUCUAGUGAAUUUCAAGCUCUCGUUCAUAUGACAAAAACUGCAGAUUGUAGCACAGUUUCUUUUGCAUGCUUAGGGCAGAGAAGUUUAGCUGAUACCUUUGCUUUUGCAUGCUCAAAAGCUGCUUCAGAAUAUAUUCGCACGUGUAUUCAAUGAAAUCAUAACAGGACAAAAGGUUGAGUCCAGCAAGAAAUUCUUCUGUCUGUAUCAUCUCAUCAAAAGGAAAACACUUGUGUCAACUCAUUUUAAGUAACUGGGAAAUAUCUGAUGAUACAUCAGACCCAUAACCAACUGAUUUUACUAUAUACUCUGCAUGGUAUAAGAAAAGAUCAGUUGUUUGUAAGAGAUAUGCUUAGAAGUUCACUAAUUCAUGCAAUAACAAAUGGAUUCACUGUGCCCAAGUUGCAAGAAAGACAGCAAUCAGAUCAACCCAUUAGAUACAAAUGCAAUCUCUAACUCUAAUUUACCAGAUAACCAUAAUUAAAGGAUUAUUGGAAGAGUUGUGACAUGAAAUUCAGAUGAGAAACUUGGAUUGUUGCUCUAGAAAAUUGAACUACUGGAUAACGGGGAUAAAUAUCUGUUACUCCUUACUUCAUUUCACCAUAAUCUCACAUGCAAAAAUUCAUUAUACAUCAAUCCUUGGUAGAGGCACUGCUUGUUGAAGUAAUAAACUCUGACAAAAACCACUUCAAGAAGUAACAAUAUCCCUUUCUAAAUUUGAACACAAUACUUAAGCAUGCAGUGUGACUUUUAGAAUGGGACAGUAUCCACCAAAAAAAUUUCAAGUUGAAUGCCAGUGUACUUGCGUCAUAUAAUUAACCGAUCCAUCUCCUUUCAGAUUAUGCAGUAAAGCAUGAAUUAAUAUGGUAAGCAGCAACACAAUUGAAAUUCUUGAAUAUCAUGAAAAACUUGCAAGAAGUACAAGUUUUGAAUGUACAGAUGGAUAAACCAUUUGCUAGAUUUCCCAAUUCAUGCAUAGGUCUACCCUUGUGGGCAAAAACAAACAAUGUUGGAUUGUAUGCAAUGCUGACAUGUAUAGCUAAGUAGUUUCAAGAUCUUGGUCCACUUGUUUGCAUAACUUUGGCAACAUUGAGCUACUAAAUAACUGGUUAUCAUUAGUCUAUUGCAUUGAUUGCAUUGUAAAUGAGGUAUGCCCCCCAUGUUAGCUUGUUGGCAGAGCAAAGCAUCUGCACAUCAUCCCUUUAAAUCUCAAAAUUGACAUAUUUUAUGAGCAGUACUUAAUUUCACAGCUUCGUCCUUGGAGCAGCAGAAUCAUCCUCAUUAGAUCAGGACUCGCAUUAUGCGGCUAAGGAAACCAUACAAGAGGCAUGCUUUCCAGUAAGCAACUAAACUGUACCUAUUUAGCCACGACUUGGCAACUUCAUCUGAUUACAUCACACAAGUCAAGUGUUUACUUCGAUUAGCAGCCUUCAUAUUGUGUUUUAGAUACAAUUUAUCACACACAAUCAAUUUAACUGAACCUAAUACAGAAACAAUCCACCAAAAGAAAAGAAACCACAAAUUGCAUGUUUUUCUAAGAAAGGUGAAACAAAAUUGAAUCCUGAUAUCCUAAUUUCGUUCUUCAAAAACAAGGAUGCGGCCAAAACAAUAGACACUGCACAAAUUUUACAACGUAACCGCAAGAAAUUCAAAUUUUUUAAUUGACUCCAAGAGAACCAAAAAAAAAAAAUUUACAAGUCAAUCUGAAUAUACCCUGAUAAUAAACAAAGAGCAAUUUCAGAUUUCCAACAUCAACUAAUCCCUCCUCCAAAUUCAUAAAUCAUCUUUCAAACUAAUGCUUGAUCAAACAACAAAUGAAGUUCCAAUGAAAGAAAAAAUAAUCAACCAAAUUUAUGCUAUUACGAAAAUAAGUAAACAUGAGAAUAAAAGGUACAAAAAAGUAUUACCCGUCCAUAGGCAUUGAUAUCGAGACCGUUAGCAAGCAGGUUGGCAAGAUCCUCCUUCAAAAACCUCUGCUUCGCCUCCGCUCUCUUCCUCACCACUUCGAUCCUCGUCCGAGUUGCCUUCAUUAGCGAUUUACUUCACACACAAAAAGAAAAAAAAAACAAAUAAAAAAUACUUAACUAAAACGCGCAUUAAUAAAAAAUCGAUAAACGUCACCUAUAAAAACAUAUAACAUUUUCUGAAACCUCAGCUCAUUGCUAUGAAUACUGAUAGAGAUCGGAUUGAAGGUAAGGGAACACAUACCAUUUGGAGCUGAAGCCACGGUUUAGUAAACCGUCAAGCAUCUUCAAAUCGAUUAUAAGAUUAAUUUCAACUUUUUUUUUCUGAGAAUGGGAAAUGAGAAGUGAUUUAGCAAUUGGCAGCAGUAUUUAAACUGAAUAGGUGCAAUAGAAGAACCAGCGGUUUUUGAGUUUUAACGUAUAAGGAAAAUCAAGUAGUAAUAGUAGUAAGCAGAUCCGCCAUUAUCGUUCAGUAGUCAGUAGUAUUAGUAGCUGUAUGAAAAAGUGAACUUUUUUUUAAAAAAAAUUCCUCUCCGUCGUUCUUCGUUUUGUGUUUUUUACCUCAACAGAGAGCAUAAGAAAAGAGUAAUGGUAGUGAGUCGGGUGGGGCAGGACAGCGAGGGAAAGUCACAUGGAUGCUGGAUGAUGGACGGAUGGCUUUUUCCGCAUGACAACGUGGUCAAGAGAGUCAACCCAUUUCAAAUUCUCAUGUUUCCGUUAUUAUUCUAUUUCUGUUUCUCUUUUUUUUAAGAAGAAAAUUCAUAUAGAGAGAGUUUGGAUGCACAUUUCUCAAUCAACUCUUUUUAUCUCAAAAAAUGUUAUGGUAUAUUUUUCUACAAAAAUUUUUAAAAUAGCAAUUCAAACCGAGUCUGAAUCUAUUUCACAUUUCCUUAUAUCAUUUUCAUAGAGAUAUUUUUAAGGGUGGCAAUGAAACAGAGUUGAGGUGGAAGAAAAAUCCCCUACCCCCGUUCCAUUGUCAAAUAAUUUCUCUUAUCCCUUAUCACAUCCCCGCCUUGUCUCAUCCCACGACUCGUUGUCAAAUAAAUAUAGUAGAAUUCUUUUCGAAAAGUAAAAUAUAAAGGGAGAAGAUUUCAAUAAAUAUCCUAGUUUGAACUUUAAACAAUUGAACUUGAUAAAGACGAAAAUGUAUAAAAUCGUGAAAUGUGUUGGUUAUCUUAGAUUUAUGACAAAGGAAAAAAACAGAGAAUUGACAAACUAAUUUGAUUUUUUUUAAUACUAUAGGAAAUUGUUUUGCUUGUGAAAGUUGAUGUAACUUUUUUUUCCCUAAGCUGACAUAAUUUUUUUUUUUUAACUCAAACCAUAAAAACACUGUAAAGGGAUAGUGGCAAUACAAAGAAUUUGAACAUAAUGAGAAAAAGGAGGGCCACUAGAGCAAACAAAAUGCACCAUACUCGAAUACAACUGUUUGGGUGCUUCGUCUUUUUGCCAAGUCCAAAAUUUCAUUCUUGAUUGUCCAGGGGAGAUUAUUUGGGAAAAAAUGAUUUAAAAUGACAUUAUAGCAUUUUUUUUUUGCGAUGUAAUAUAUAUAAAAUAAAAAUUACAUUAAUAAUACGAACAUAAUAACAUUUGAAAUUCUUUUUUUUUUUUUUUCAAAUUAUAGCAUCCAAACGGAAUAUUACCACAUCCGAAUUGUUUGUGAAGUGUUGUUCAUUUUAUGUUCCAUGCUCAAAGUAGAAUAAUUCCCUUUCAACCAGACCGAAAAGACAAAAAUUUCUUAAACAAAUGGUUUUAUUUUUGACUGAACCACUAACUGAAAUGGAAUGGUUCAAUAAUGGAUAUUACUAGCAACUGACUUCAGUUGGGAAGCGUCCAGUUAGGUAUACCUUCUCACCCUUUGUCCCAAAACUUUGGCUAUGCUUAUGAUUAGAUGCGAAGACUCUGACAAAACUGGUUGGUUGGUUAGGUAAUAAUCUAACACCAAUGUGUAUGCGGAACUCAAUCCACUUAUCAUAAAUUAAUCUACAUACAUUUACCCGCUGCUGUUCCAUUGGCGUUGAGCCCGCUACAGGCUGAUAGGAGUAGACAGAGAAAUGAGAAGCAUUGACAUAAAUAGAACGCGUGCCAUUUUUUCUUCGUUCGAAAGAAUGAAGUUCGUGCAAGUGCUAAGGGUUCUUGAUCCAAAAACCUUGCGGGAAAAUCAGGAAUUCUUGACCCCUACUUGAUUCAUUAGAAGGACAGUAGUAUUGUUACACGAGGACGUGGAUCAUUAACCUCUAGCUAAAAUUAAACCUAAUAAUUAAUUUACCAUCUUCGCAUUUGAAUCCGUACAGCAGCAUUUGCAUUUGCAUUUGCAUUUGAAUCCAGGAGGCUCAAAAGAGUGUGAAUGCACAAACGAACUAGAAAACGGAGGUCCUAGCAGAACUAACAGAAUGCAGAGUAGUUAAAACUUUUUCUGAAAUAAACACAGAGAACCUGCUUUCCUUCGUCUUCUGCUGGCAAAUAGACGGAUGAAAUUCGGGAAGCACUCGAAAUUAUCAGAUGGAGCUUUACAGUUUACACGCUACUAAUUAGAAGAAUACAUUGUGGGCUCAAAAUAUCUCAAAAAGAUAAAAAUAUAAUUAUGAACUAACAAAAUAGAUGCAACCUAAGUAACCAAUUUUCACAUUGAACCCCCAGGAAAGCGGCGGGCAGAAUAACUGAUGCGACUUGUAAAAUCAGUAGUGUCCCAGUUCCCUUCCCGGGAUUUAUUUUAUUCUCACAAAGCAUGAGAGACUAAAAGCAAAAAAGAAGGAUUUGUGAAGCUAGAGAAGGUGGAAAUACUACUACCAUCGACAAUCCGGUUACGCCAAACAUCUCAAGAAAUUAAUUAGUACAUUAAACAGAAGAUUGUCACGGUCAAACAACUCUUGCCUAACCAAUCUAUUCAGCGAGUCGUUCUCAGGAAGAAGAUCGCCGUAAUAGAGCAUGGUUGUAAUUGAAGCGGCCGGCUGCGCCACCAAUGAUUUCACGAGUCUAACCAGCGACCGGAACAUCAGCGCUGCAAGAAACUGCAGUAAGGAGCAAAAAAGUUUCAAAUUAGAAAUUUUAAAAGCACAAACUUUUAUCCGUCAGGAGAGCAGAUACUAAUCUACAGGAAAAGGACGACUAGACGUUAAUUCUGAUGAUUGAGGAGUAGAGUGAAAAAGCAAGCAUACCAUAGUAAGGAACAGCGCCAAAACUAAGUAUAGAGUUUGGUGUUUGAUGGAUUUUAUUCUGUUCAAAUGGGUUUUCAGCGGACAUUCAGACCUACCGGUCCAUGCUUUGCCUUAGUAAAUGCUGACAGAUGAAGCUAUUCAAGGCAUUGGAAAAGUAAUGCUGUAAUACCGCGAAAAGCAUAUUAAGGCCAGUAAAUGCGAAUUACAAAUGGUAGUUGCCCUUGAACAAGGGAACUGGCAGGAAGUACGAAUGUCAGUUAUGCUGUGGAUGGCUCCAAGAUGGAAGUGCACAGGAUUUUCCCACAAGUGCUGAAAGUCAGAGUAAGUUAGCUGAGAUAUAUUACCGAUUGGGAAUCAUGGCAAGAGAAAAUUUGAAAAACUUUAAUAGGCAUUACAAGCUAGAAGGUGCAAGGCAACAUGAGCAAUUACACCAGCUAAAAUAGGAACAGCAAUCGUUUGUCAGCCUUUGGACUUAUGGUUUUGACUUCCCUAAAAAGCGCCUCCGUGCUAUUGAUAGCCUAGAUUUAGCAACUCUGCCCUGCUCCUCAUCACUAUCCUCGCUAUCUAACACAAUCACUGAAUAUGCGUUACAUGAUGGAGAAGUUUCUUCCUGUUUAUUCAUCUCCCCCAAGAACAUUGCUCUACAAUCUUGCUUGGGUCGCUCAAGCUGCUGCUUCUCAUCAUAGCAGCUCUCAGGUUGCUCAGAAGGAAUCUUAGAUGGUCUCAAAGACUGCAUUUCAAACUGGUUAUUGAUAUUAAUGCUCGAGUCACCAAGAGGUUUCAAUGGCUGUCCCUGCACUGUCCUGGACAACUUGUUAGGUAAGUAUGUGGUGUGGUUCUCCAUGCCCCUCUCAUUACAAUGACCAGUUUCUGAUGCCUCUGACAAACUGGAGGAUAUUGUACGAUUCUUGCUCUCCCAUGCAAUGUUGAAGCUUGAAUUUGGGUCCAGGUUCUCUAUGUUAUCCUUUUGCUGACCUUGAUACGAACUUAACUUCCAGAGAGCAGACUUCCUGCCGGCCAAACCUAGCUUCCUUUGUUUUAUCCUGGUGAAGUCAUUAGCAUCUCCAUUAACAAUUUGACCAUGUUGUUCUCUGCCAUCAUGUUUAAUCGUUUGGGCCAAUCCAAAGUUUUUGUGCAACUCACGAGAGUGAAACUGAAUGUCAGACUGCUGAGGAACAGAAAGUAGCUUCUCAUCAUCAUCCCCAGUUCCUUGGUUUGAGUCAAGAGACUCUAGGAAUGGCUUCUUCUCCAACUUGGUUUCUGUGCUGUUACUUUUUGAAAUACCAUCACCAUCUUUAUUUUUAUUCUGAGAAUACAAAUCAGGCUGCUCCAAGGGCCCAGAUUUCGAAGAAGAUGUUAUCAAGCUUUUGCAUUCUGAAGUGGCUGAACACUCAUUUGACACCACACGGAUCACGUGAUUAUCAUGCUUCACAACAGAAGGUUCGAGUGACAGUUUCUUCCUCGUUCUAGGUGGCUCUUGAUGAGUUUGGUUAUGAUCAUUGGAUGUUAUCAUUGAAUCUUUUUUCAAUCCUUUAAGUUCCAGCAGUUUUUCAUGGAGAUGGCUACUUGGGGCCUGAUUUACACCCUUUCCUUCAUUACUUCUUUGAUCUAACUCUGAAGACUCCAAUGACAACUUCCUGCUGAUUCCACAUAAUCUCUUGUGCCCGACUUCAUACUCGUCAACUCUUUUUUCCUUGACUGAUGUAUCCAUUCCUUCAUUAACUUCUGCCUGCAUAAAGCGUGUAUGAGUACCUAAUCAGAAACUCACAGAUAUGGAGAUGCUAGAGCAGAAAACUUACUAGUUGGAUGCUUGGCUUCAGGACAGCCUGAGAACCUUGCCCUCUACCAGCAAUUUCACUUUCACCAAUCCUGGUAUACUUUUCAGUCAAGGAUCUUGCCUUCUGAUCAAAAGCUUGUCUAUUAUAUUUGUACUCCUGGCUCUGUACGUUAAUCAGAACAAAUUACAGAACUAGGUAACCUGCUCACAACGAGCAUUUUCCACAGCAAUUGAAAGUGUGAUUACUCACAGCUUCAUGCAUCAGGCCAUCAUCAGGAUUUGGUUCACUCAAUAACAACCCGAUGCUUGUUAAGACAGUUGAGAUGUUCAGAGAUGGUUGCCAUGCACCCUGCAAAAUUGAAAGCCACAUCACCAGCCAAGCAAAUUAAACUAUAAUGCUUUUCAAUAAUCUGCCUGUAGGAGAGAAAACUAAGGGCACAUGGUCCACCAAAGUCAGCAAACAGAGGGCAGGGUCUAAGAAGCAUCUAGUAUCAUCAAUUAGGCCGCUAACAAAGAUCCCUCCCGAAGAGCCAGAUAAUACAUAUUGCCUUUUUUUAAGAUGCUAUUCCUCAAGUUGUAGUUAAAAUGAUGUGAGGAAACAUGAGAAUAUUGUCAACUGGUGAUAAUACACAAAAAGUCAGGUGCUAUAAUUUGGACAUCUCCAUGAUUGUGCCUGAGGAACCUUUGGAUGCAAACAUUGAUCAACCUAAUGAAACAAUACGUUUGAGUGCUUUUUGAGGAAAUGAAUUAUUCCGACAUAGAACGAGAAAAUUAAGCAUUAAGAAAUGAAUAGGGCUAUAAAAUUGGUGUCCAGUUUUUGUGACCCACGCAUUCUGGCAUCAUUUCAAUUUUUAGAACUCUAUGCAGAAGUCGAGAAUUGAGAUAUCUUUAAAGAACUGAGGGAUGCAAAUAAAACUGGAAAAACCUUGGGAGGAAGAUUGAGGAUAUCCAGGCAAAUGCGGCCUCCGUUGUCAAUGUUGGGAUGAUAUAUUGGGGUGGCAAAGGUCACCAUAGGAGGCUGAAAUGGGUACCUAGGCACGACAAGGAAUAGUCUCAAUCUAAAUUAUCGCCGGUGACGGAAUUUAUCCAUAUAUAAAAGAGAAAGAAUAUCACAAUCCACCAAAAAGAAGGGGGAUAAAAGUAAGAAAAGUAAUACCUAUCAGGUAUUUGAAUCUUUAACCUAAAGACCCCUUUAGCAUAAACAGUCCCUUCUGGGCCUUCAAUCUCUGUACAAAUACACCAUGUUAAGUGGAUCAAUGCAAACGUAGAUGCAAGUGAAAGUAGCAAUGAUAGUAUGCAUAAAGACAUAAUUGCGGAAGACUUACGGGCAUCGAUGGAUGUAAGAGAAGGGGCGGAGGAGGAGGAGAGGGAAGGGAAAGAGGCGCCGGGAGGUGGGUCGGUGAGGAGUAACUUGAGCUCUUUCUGCAUCCGGAGAUUGAGUCUUGCUGCUUGUACCUGUGCCAUUCCUUUUCUCGAUUUUUUUUUUGGAAUGAGUCCUUCCCUGCUUAUUGUUUCCUAUGGGUAAGGUUUGAUCUUUCUGGCAAUUACCAAUGCCAUAGAAGAUGAUUGAAGAGGAAAGGGUGUAAAAGUAAAACCGCAAACUGCUGAGAGGGGAAUGCGAAGGUGAAAAGCGCGCGGUUUGCCCGAAAUUUAAACCCAAAAAGAGCGACACGGUGCAUUUGGACCCAAACGAAAAUGAGAGCCAAAUGUCCAGUCCAAUCCAAUCCAAUCCAAGGGGAAAAAGAAAACAACAUUAAUAUAUGUUUUGUUGAGAGUGGGAUUUGAACCCACGCCCUUUCGGACCAGAACCUUAAUCUGGCGCCUUAGACCAACUCGGCCAUCUCACCUAUGCAUGUGGACCCAAACGAAAAUGAAGGUCAGAUGUCCAGUCCAAUCCAAUCCAAGGAGAAAAAGAAAGCAACUGCUAUAAAAAGUUUGUUGAGAGUGGGAUUUGAACCCACGCCCUUUCGGACCAGAACCUUAAUCUGGCGCCUUAGACCAACUCGGCCAUCUCAACUAUGCAUGUGGACCCAAACGAAAAUGAAGGUCAGAACUCAGAUGUCCAGUCCAAUCCAAUCCAAUCCAAGGAGAAAAAGAAAGCAACUGCUAUAAAAAGUUUGUUGAGAGUGGGAUUUGAACCCACGCCCUUUCGGACCAGAACCUUAAUCUGGCGCCUUAGACCAACUCGGCCAUCUCAACUCUGUUGUUGCAAGAGAAUAAAUAUAACUAAUAAAUAAUUUGCUUAUUUCGGGUUUCCAAUCAAAAAUAUUAUGUGCCAGGUAAUCCCUAAUUUUUAUACGAUAAUGUGCUUAAUCUGACUAUAAAUCUGGUCGAAGUCCGUUGAGAAUUUUGAAAACAAAGUAGUAAUUGCAAUACUUGGGGCAAAAUCGAGCCCAUGAUGAUAUUUUUGAGGCCAGCCGAAAUUUGGAACUAACCUUCAAAAAAGAAAAUUCGAACUUCAACUGUUCUAAAAUUGUUUUUUACCGGCAUCAAGUAGGAAACUUCGACGAAAAAAUGGGUAGUAAAAGAUUACAUGCUAUUCGUUUUCAAUGAUUGUAUCUGUAUGUAUUUCAAAUUUUUUGACAAAAAAAAAAUAAGAAAAAAAUAUUUCAAUUGUAUGAGCCACAUAUUUUUUAUGCGAUUCACAUCUGCCAGAAAUCACUACCGUGCCUCAAAAUCAUUCCAUUGCCUCCAUAAUGGAGCUUUUAUAACUUGGUUUUCCCACAUUUGAUCAAUUGAAUGGCAGCCAAAAAAAAAAAAGAAAAGAAAAGAAGAUUAAAAACAUUUGAACUUUAAAAUACAAGUUCAGCAUUUGACGAGCAACAUUUCAAUAAUUUAAUUGCAAUGCAGUCCAGUUCAAUGCCAAUAAAAAGUAAAAACACUCUCUCUGUCAACUUAUUCAUUUAACUAGUAGAUCACACAAAGGUGAAGUGGGGAGGGGGUCAUCAUUUCAAACUUAUAUACUAUGUUAAAGGCUCGCUUUUUUAGAAAUUUUAACCGCUCAUGCACAAAAUUUUUACUGUAUAGCCUGUGCUUUGGUCUCUUAAUCUGUACGCAGCAAGAAAUAAAUAAAUGAAUCUCCGUUGAUAAUUAAUGGUUGAGACUUGGGGCACAAGUCCACGCGGUAGAGGCAAGAAGUGUAUCAUCCAGUAUUAGUUAAAACGUCCAUGUGAUGUAGGUUGAAUGUCAAUUGGUCAUUUCGAUUGUGUAUGUGUGGAUUAAAGUUUAAGCGUGCUUCAACGCGUACUCUGAACCAUCUCUUUUAAUUUCCACUUCGUGCACUGUGUUUUGUAGUUUUUUUUUUUUUCGCUUCUAUCUUUUUCUUUUCCGUUUUCCUCUUGCUUCAUCUUUAUUCUUCAAAAGAAGAAGAAAAAAACUCAUCGAUGUGAGGAGAAAGAAACAAAAUUGGCAUUUCAUUCACUUCGGGUGAAGCACUUGCUGUGCAAUUAAAAUAUGGUGCACUUUCUCUGCAAUUAGCAUGAAUUAGUUGUUGGUUAAAGUCUAUUGACUCUUGAAUGCAUAUUGUGUAUGAUCUACAUCUCUUUGACUUACUUAUUUUAGCGCUAUACGAUACUUUCACUACUCCAGUGCUAUAAAAUAUAAUCUCGAAAGAUUAGAGGGAAAAAAUGGUAACAGUGGCGGCGAUUAAGAAAGCAGAGUAACGUGUUAAAAUUGACCGAUCUUCGGGCAAGUAAAUGAAAUUAUAACAUAUUUUUACUUUACAUAUAUUAAAUCGUUGUCGUAUAUUUUUAUACAAAAAUUCCUAAUCAAACGGGAAUUGUUGUCAAGUGUAUUUAUUCCAAUCUCCUGCAAGACCUGAUUACUAGAAUUUGCUCCUCAGAAUUUUGAGAAAUAAUUAAAAAAAAAAAUCGUUGGACUUUGAUGUACAACCCACUGCACCACCGUCGGGAAUAGAAUAAGCAUUAGGCAUAAUUUCAAAAACUUCCCUUGAGAUUUUUAACAAUUUUACCUAGUUCUCUUGAGGUUUGAAAAAUUACUUAUACCUCUCCCGAGUUUAUCGUUUCCGUAACAAAAACUAUUUAAUGAUCAAAAUUUUGAACGAAUAACCCAAAAUGCCCUCAUAAAAUUGUGAAGUUUAUUUUAUCUUUUUUUUUUUAUAAAAUUAUUCAAAAGCUAUGCAGUUGUAAAACCUCAACAAUUUCUAAAUUCUAAAACCUCAAUCGAAAUUUAAAAAAUUUGUAAUGUUAAACUAAAAUUUUUUUAAUAACCACAUCAAUAUAGCAUCCUAUCCCUCAACUAUUUGAGUAUCAAUACCAGUUCUAUCCUUUUUAAACUCAAUUUACAUAAUUUUCUAUGCAUCUUCAGAUCCUCCAAGUAAAGCUAAAAUUAAUUUUAAUAUAUUAUUAUUGUGUUUAGAACAUGAUCAAUUAUUCCACGAGGGGAUUUUAUUUUUAUUUCUAUUAAAUGCCUAUUUGUGUGAUGCAUUCAUAUGAACAAGAUUAGGAGUGAAUUGUUUAAUUGCAUGAAAAGAUUGUUAACACCACGAGGGGAUUAUAUAUGUUAAGAUUGUUAUGGUCAUUUUGUACGAUCAAAAGAGAUAUGUAUAAUAUUGAAAAUCUCGAGGGUACUAGGUAAAAUUGUCAGAAACUUUGAGGGAGGUUUCUGAAAUUAACCCUAAGCAAUAUGAUGAGCAAUUUGUUUUUUUUUUUAAGAAAAAAAAUUUUGUUUUGGCGAAGGUCAAGUGUAGAUACGUAAGAUAGUCUAUAUAUGUUUUUUUGUAUGGGUUGGAGAGAGAGCGAGGGGGGCGGGGGUGUGUUGUGCAGGCGCGCGAAUUGCUAUGGUCUUCCAUUUGCUUUAAAGUCAAAUUAGACGCUCCUCCUACCACCAGUAAGUGUCAUAGUACAAGUGUACAACCAAAUUUACGUACCAGAUACCACUGCUACUAUUACAACCUCGCUUGGAAGGGGAUUUUUCAUUAAAAAAAAAUUUUUUUUUCUUCCUUUUUUUAAUUAUUUUUUAUUUCAUAUAUAUUGUUAGAUCGUUAGUAUAUAUUCUUCAAAAUUUUCAGAAAAUUAUAAUCCAAACACGUUAGCAUCCAAACUGACUGGAAAAAGAAAAAAGAAAAAAGAAGCGAUUUCUCGAUACAUGGCCAGGGUCCCAGGUGUCCCCAGUCUCCUCCAUUGAAAGAGAGAGAGAGGGAGAGAAGCGCCCGGUCUUUGUUUUCAAAAGUUUCAAAGCUACUCAAUUUCAAUGAUGAUACCUUCCUUUCAAAAAAGCCUCCAAACUGAAUUGUGAACCCCCUCUUGGCCUUAACACCUCCAUCCCAGCACGCCUAACCAGUAACCUCCUCUCUUCCAUCUUUGAUUCCACCUGUUCUUUCUUUCACGCUUUCACAUGAGUAGCCAGGCUGCUCUUGAACAAAUUUUCUGUCUUUUCAACUACCACCGCCAUCUCCAAUCUCCAAUUUGUUUCUCCUUUUUCAUCCAAAGCUCUCUCUCUGUCUUCCACCCUGCCCCCCUCCCCUCGGCCCCUCCUUUGCUUUGCAGGACCGACAUUAACGCUUCUGUUCUCCACUUCUCUUGAAAAUCAGUUUUCCUGCCUCACCUUACCGUUUUCUUAUUGCAGUCAAAGCCCAAUAGAGAAAUACUCAAGCAAAGAAAACCAUUCUAAUCGACUCGAUCAGUGAAGAAGCAGCAGCUGAGAAUCCGCAAGAAGAUGAACGUGGUGGGGAGGCAAAUGCAGAGAUCUAGUUCAACCGGAGGUCACCACCAGCGUCAGUACUCCGACAACUUCAUUGAUACUGCCUUCAACAACAAAUGGCUUCGGUCAGUUGGUCUUCAUCAUCUUCACUCCUCCAAUUCCUCCAUUCCUCCUCUUCAGGUUAAACAUUGUUCCUUUUUUUUUUUUUUUAUCGACGUCGAUACCAUACUCCUUUUCCUUUUCCUUAAGGUUGAUGAUUGCAAUUAUACUUGCAUUUGUUUUUCAUAUGCAUAAAUUGCCGCACUCUGAGCAGUUUUUACUCAAGCCGACUAUCAUCACUUAUUUAUAUAGUUAUGUUUGUGUCAUGCAACUCCCUCAUCUCGAGAAUCUGACUAUAGCCCUGUAGUUCGGGGUCUCUUUUCAUCAUCUUGCGACUGGCGUUUGAUUCUUCCUGUCACCAUCCCCUUCUGACCCCUCCCCUUGUUAAUUGGUAAUUCCUAAAUGCUGGCAUUUGAAUUGGUAAUGUUGCAGGAUUUUGGGUUUUUUGGCGCUAAUGGGGGAGGCCAGGGUUCAAAAUGGGGAAAGAAUGGGCAGAGAGGUGUAAGUGGUGGAGGAGGAGAUGAGGACCCAUCCUCUCCCACGGCUUCUUCCAGGUCAUCUAGCAUGAGGAAGAAUGGAAAUGGAGUUGAAGUGUUGCCAGGUGAACUCAGCCCUGGAUUGCUUGAUUUGCAUUCAUUCGAUACAGAACUUAUACCUGAGGUUUGUAAACUUUUCUUCUUUCAAGCCCCUCAUGUUCUUAUCUUGCCUGUCAUUUAUGAAUGAACUUGUCCAGUGGAUGAAGUCUAUGUGAACUGAUGCGGGCUGUUUUUUGUCUAUGCUGCUGAGAAGCAUAAAUUAGGAAUUCUACCUUUUGGAAUCCUAAAAGUUAUUGUGUUCUUGAGAGCUAUUACAAGUUCUGUAUGACAUAAUGGUAGACGAAUGUGACAAGUUCUAUGUCGGAAAUUAAAUUUGCAUCAGAGCCAUGGCUUACUUGUAAUUUGACAUUUCGUGGGUUUUAACAUAUUAGCAAUCUCUACUUUGCAGUUUCCUUCCCAGAAUGAUGGAUCUUUACUCAAUCAACCCCUUUGUGGUAGAAGUUUUGAUGAUUCUAGGCCGUGCAUCUCAGCUAAAUAUAGUAAGAAUCCUCGAGGUUUAUCUGAUAAUGAUCUUCUCAAAAGCUUCUCCGCAGAUAAAGAGAAAGCUAAUAAUGUUGCUAAGAUCAAAGUUGUGGUAUGCCCUUCUUCUUUUUCUUUCUUUGAAAGAAGCUCGUAACCUGGUCUUUUCUAGUUGAGAGAUUACAUUUAGAGGACUUUAUGUAAUUGUGGCUAAGUUUACAAUAUAGCUUUAUUUGGGUCCCAUACUUUGACUUAUAGUACCAGUGAAAAAUUGCAACUGCAAAUGCAGGUGCGUAAGAGGCCGCUCAAUAAAAAAGAAAUUGCAAAGAAAGAAGAAGACAUCAUAACAAUAGAUCCAAAUGCUAAUUCACUCACUGUCUAUGAGACAAAGCUCAAAGUAAGUUUCUGUUGGCUCGUCUUUGCUACAGCUAUUUUCUUGCACAAGUUUACCUGUUCAGAUGUUAGCCUUCCUCUCGUAAAUGCUGCUGUCUUCUCGAUCUUAGUUCCUGGAAUUCUCGUUACCUCAUUUGGCAGGUUGACCUGACUGAGUAUGUUGAGAAGCAUGAAUUUCUUUUUGACGCUGUGAUGAAUGAGGAAGUCUCUAAUGAUGAGGUGAGUACUUCACAGGACUUAUUAUCUCUUCUAAAAAGUAAAUCUGUUAAUGACCUUUCUUAAUGUGACAGGUUUAUGCUGAAACUGUUGAGCCCAUAGUCCCAAUUAUAUUUCAAAGAACAAAAGCAACUUGCUUUGCGUACGGCCAAACAGGCAAGUAGUUGACUCUUUUUUUUUUUCCAAAUUUUUUGGAAGUGCAGUUCCUUGGCUUGUGUCUAUAACAUGACUUAACAUAGAAAGUUAUUUUGACGCAUAUAUCAUUAACUAGACUCCACAGGAGAUCCUUAAAUUUUAAAAUGUCCCGCAGAUUCUGAAGAACGAUUUUUGAUCUCCCUCUAACAAGUUAUCAUUCUAUAUAUUGAAACUAAAACAGCGUUGCACUUUUCAAAGUGAAGAUUAACUGUUUCUUGUUUUAAUGACCUCAGCUUUUUAUUCUUAAGAUAAUUAUGCCUUUGAUAAUUAUAUCUUUGGCAAUAUUGGAUAAGUUUGUCUUGAAGAUAUUAAAAAUUUACUCCGGUUGCCAGCAUGGAAUGUUCCUCAAUGUUUUGCCAAAGCCUUUUCUCAUCAAGCAGAAGAGUAAGAACCAAAGCCUGAUAUUUGGUGUUCAGAGAUCUGAUGUAUUGAUAUUGUAGCUACUCUUACAUGAACUCUUUGUUCUGUUAAACAUGUAAGUUUAGCUGAAUAUAUUGUACUUACAUAAACUCUUUGUUCAGUUAAACGUGAUAGUUUAUGCUGCUGUGUUGGCUAAGGAUGCUGAUUCAGCUCUUUAUUUGGUCAACCUUGGUUUCUUAGAUAAGCAUAUAUUUUAUCAAACCGUCCUGUUUUUGGGUCUUUUCAAUCUUUCAGCUCAUUGGUCAUGUUUAAUUGCUGAGGUUAAGUUGUUCAUGAGCUUUUCUCAGGCAGUGGGAAGACUUACACUAUGCAGCCAUUGCCGCUGAAAGCUUCUCAGGAUAUACUGAAGUCAAUGCAAAACAAUUAUCGAAAUCAAGGAUUUCAACUUUUUGUCAGUUUCUUUGAGAUAUAUGGAGGCAAGGUUUUUGACCUGCUAAAUGAUAGAAAGUGAGCCUCUGACUUUGUAUAACAUUUUGACUAGGCAGAGGUUUUACUAAAUUUGCUUUUCAUUAAAGAGAAACUUUCUUUGUGUCAGCAAGCUAUGCAUGAGGGAGGACGGGAAGCAGCAGGUCUGUAUUGUAGGUUUGCAAGAAUACAAGGUAUCCACUGUGGAGACAGUCAGGGAGUUGAUUGAGAAAGGAAAUGCAACAAGGAGUACUGGAACCACUGGUGCAAAUGAGGAAUCCUCCCGUUCGCAUGCCAUACUUCAGCUCGCCAUCAAAAGAAAGGUUGAUGACAAUGAUUCAAAACCAGCUCGACUAGUUGGCAAGCUAUCUUUCAUUGAUCUUGCUGGAAGCGAACGUGGGGCUGAUACAACUGAUAAUGACAAACAAACUAGGUAGCAUUAGAUUAGAUAGAUCUGCUAUGUGUAUGAGUAAGAAUUGCAAGAAAUUGUCAACUUAUUUGAGGAUCACUGAAUCUUACCUUCUUUUGCAGAAUGGAAGGUGCUGAAAUUAACAAGAGCUUACUUGCUCUAAAAGAAUGCAUUAGAGCUCUUGACAAUGACCAGGGUCACAUUCCAUUCAGGGGGAGUAAACUGACUGAAGUUCUGAGAGAUUCAUUUGUUGGUGACUCCCGUACAGUGAUGAUAUCCUGCGUUUCACCAAAUUCAGGGUCAUGUGAACAUACUCUGAACACUCUAAGAUAUGCUGACAGGUAAAGCCAUCAUGUAAGAGAAGUUUCAUGAAGUUAAAAUGUACUUUGCUUUAGAAAGGUCUAAGGUUCAAUUGCAUAUCAGGGUUAAGAGUCUAUCUAAGGGGAACAGCUCAAAGAGGGAACCGCUGUCCACAUUAAAUCUUCGUAGUUCAACUCCAGUGCCUUUGUCCUCAAUCAGUCAAGUUGUGUCAGGCCCUGAGGAUAAUGUAUUUGGUGGGCUGCAGAACCAAGAGCUCAGCAAACUUGGAUGGCCUAAACAACAAGAAAGGGAAUCCUCACUAUCUUCCAACAUUGAGCGUGUUCCUAGUGGUCAAGCACAGAGCAAUUUGGCUGCCACAGUGCAUAUAGAGAAUCACAAGCAAUUUGGUCCAAGUAUUGAUCGUGUUCCUAGUGGACGAGCCCAAUGGAGUAGUCUGGUUCACACAAAUGAAGAUAAUUUUGAUGGCUCUAAAGGGAUCUCUGACCAUGCAUCUUGGUCUAUAAAUCCAAAAUUGGAUAGCCAUCAGCUACGAAAUAUAGAUGAUAAGACUGGAAACGUAAAGUAUGGGGACCCAUCUGAACUUGAGCCAAGUAGCUUGAUCGCAGAAGAUGAUCUUACUGCUUUGUUAAAGGUAAAAGCAAUAUUUGAUCUUGGUUUACUUGUCAAAAGAUAAAAUAACAACUGCUAAGUUAAAAUUCUACUUGUUUGAUGUCAGGAAGAGGGAGAUCUUAUCAAUGCUCAUAGAAAACAAGUUGAGGAAACUAUGGAAAUUGUCAAGGAGGUUGGUUAUUCAGUGCUUUUUGCCUAUCUGCGUACAAUAAGUUUUAAAAUACAGUUAAGUAUUAAGCUGCAUCUCUUGUUUACUGUGUUUCUCUAUGCAGGAGAUGAGUCUAUUAGUUGAAGUUCAUGAACCCGGUAAUCAGCUUGAUGACUAUAUUUCUAGACUGAAUGCCAUUCUAUCCCAGAAGGCUGCUGGAAUUCUGCAAUUGCAAAAUCGCUUGGUAGAAUUUCAAAAGCAUCUUAAAGACCACGAGGUUUUCUUAUUUCCUUCUGGUCAUUGAGUCAACUGUUGAGAUUCGACAGAAACUACCACUUAUACAGAGUUAGCCUCAAAUUGGUGAUACUAUGACUUCUUGGUCCUACCUGGUCUGCAAAUUUUAGGUUGGUUGCUUUGAGAUCUACUUCCGGGGGACAAUACUACUAGAUGUACAGACUUACCGAGCGGAUUAUGGAAGGCUCAUCAAACGAUGCAGAAAUGCAGUAAUUAGAUGUUCAAUCGAAAUGCUGCCAAUAGCUAUAUGGGACGGGUUAUGCAACUAUUGGCAGUGUAUCUUGGAGCCUCAGAAGUCUCAGCAUGUUGAAAGAUAUUGUAAGAAACUUUGGAUUGGGCUUGUGCUGGUGAAAAUUUUCACCCCAAUUGUUGGUUAUGUUGUAUGGGUGACGGUACGAGAAUGCCUGUCAUCUGCUUUGUGUGCAUAUAAUGGGUACCGUUCCUUGGAGUUUGCCAUGUUAUUACAUCCCGACUCCUAAGAUAAAACUACAACUCAACCUAAAGUGUAUUUUCAUUUGAGUGCAUGAGGUAAUCGCUAGAUAUCCGUAUGUUAUUUCUAGACUCACAGAAGUAACGAACUUUGACCGCAAGCACCGUAUCUCACUUGUCCCUAUGGAUAGCAAAAGUAGUUUUUCAGAAGAGAGAUUAUGGCAACUUGUUUUCAUCCCUCAUGAUGAAUCUACAGGGAAAUAUUUACACAAAUAUUGAAGUUCUUUAAGGAGACCAUUAAUUCGGCAAAACACAAAUCUAUAAAUCAACGGGUUAUAUAUAACAAAAAGAUGAGGAAUCAGCUAGAUCAAAUUGCAAGGAGGCCACAGGGUUCGAUCUCCAUCCGACCCAUCAUCCAAACACUUGGGAUCCUCGGUUACAUUACACUUGGGAUCCUCGGUUACAUUUUUUUUAGUGCCAACCCAAUGCCACCACUAGAAUUGUGUCAAGUGUCUUGUUGUCAUUAGCAUUUUAAUUUUUUAUUAACUCAAAUUGGUUCAAAAUUAACACAAAUUUUCUUAUUCUCUAAAACUCUAAACCAAAAGGCACCCGGCCGGUCUAACUCCUGCAUCGAUAAUUUUAUACCGCUGCUGCUUUGGGGAAAAAGAAUAAGAAAACCCUCUGUUUCCGAUGAUUGCCUUCAUUUGUGGCUUGAUCGAUGGUGUUCCAGUAAACCAUUAGCCCAAGAGCUUUGUGUCGUGGAUCCGCCGCAUCAGUUGGUUUCAGAUUUCUUUGGUCCAAGAAUUUGAUGGGGCAAGGAGUUAGCAUUGGGAUUCGGAGUUCAACCAAUGAAUGCGUCUGCAAGGUUGAUAUUAAGCCUUGGUUAUUUACUCCAAGAAAAGGGUUCAGAAGUUCAGAGGCCAAUUCCACUGCAAUUGACAUAUAUUGGGAUUUUUCAUCCGCAAAAUUUGGUUUUGGCCCGGAACCGCUAGAGGGGUUCUAUUUAGCUGUUGCAUUUAACCAAGAACUUGUCCUGCUCCUCGGGGAUUUGCAAAAGGAAGUGUAUAAGAAAAUAGGUCCUAGCCCUGUUGAAUCUAAUACGGUGUUUAUUGCCAAAAGAGAGCACAUCUUUGGGAAGAGAGUAUACACUACAAAGGCUCAAUUCUGUGACCACGGGCCGAUACAUGACAUCGAAAUUGAGUGCGAUACUGGGGGGAUUAACGAUCCAUCUCUGGCCAUCAGCGUGGAUAGCAGAGCGGUGUUGCAGGUGAAGCGGCUGCGGUGGAAGUUCAGGGGGAACCAGACUAUUUUGGUGGAUGGACUGCCGGUGGAAGUGUACUGGGAUGUUCACAGGUGGUUCUUAGGGAAUGUUAUGGGCAAUGCUGUUUUCCUGUUUCAAACCUGUCUCUCGGCCGAGAUGCUGCGAAACAGAGGGUUUUCUUAUUCUUUUUCCCCAAAACAGCAGCUGUACAAAAUUAUUGAUGCUGGAGUUAGACCGGCCGGGUGCCUUUUGGUUCCGAAUUUUAGAGAAUAAGAAAAUUUGUGUUAACUUUGAACCAAUUUGAGUUAAUAAAAAACUAAAGUGCUAAUGACAACAAGACACUUGGCGCAAUUCUAACGAUGGCGUUGCAUUGGCACUAAAAAAAAUGUAACCGAGGAUCCAAGUGUCAUCCAAAGCACUAAACAGGGGUGCUACGAACGAAAAAACAACUUGAUUCAAGUGUGGGACUAAACCAUUAAUGGUGUAGAGUCAAAUGCUAGAAAAUUCAAAAUGGUGGAGAAGAUUUUGAAUGAGAGAACAAUCUGAUUGAAUAGGCAUCGACUUGAGUUUGGAAUUUGUUGUUUGCACGCUGAGGUGCUUGGAAAACUUGCGGAUUCACCAGCCAGGAUAGUAUAAAUCAAUGGCUGGAAACCGUGCAAUAAGAUUUCCAGCAAUCCUGUUUGUGUUAAAAUUUGGCAAACAGCUCCCUUGGUGAAGCCCAGAAACUAAGGUUUUCCGUUUCCCACAGAAGAAAAAUAGAUUUUUGUUGUCCCAUUUUCUGUUUUUUGGUUUUUUUUUUUUUUUUUUUUGCAAAGAAAUGCAAGUCGCCAUGCUAAAAGAAAAGACUUGUGUUUUGAACAAAUUGUAUGCUAGACUGACCAGUAGUAAAGAAAAGAUUUGUCCAAGUACAAAAGAACUAAAACUUGUUGAACGGUCAUUUUCUGGCCUCACAGCCUCAUUUUUGUCUGCGCGUGUCGUGGAGGGUCAGCUGGGGACAGCGAAAGGGAAAGUAAUCCUCAGGAAGAAGACGACGUCUGUAAAACUUGAUGAAUGACUCCAAGAGUUUGAAGGGAGAGCCAGACGACCGCCAUAGGGCAAUUGGUAAACGACAGAAAAUGGCAAAGACCCAUACCGUCUCAUUACCAUCCAAGAUGAGAAGAAGAUAUAUACAACACAACUGAGUGGAGAAAAAAAAAAAACAGCACCCACGCCACGCACAAACCCACACCCGUCCCUUGACAAAUGCUGUGUUAUAUACAACGCAUCACAAAACCUCCCGCUGGCUGCUGCAGAUAGGUGGACGCAUCAAUGCGGAUUAGAUUUAGAUCCAGAACUAGAAGGGCACUGCUGGUUCCUCAUAGGUCACAAUUCACAAGUGAUGUGUCACUGGAUUUUCAAUACAAAUUUGGAAACGUAUAAUUUCUUCAUCAACUUUGCAAUGCAUAUAUUCAGGGUGAUCUUGACCAUUCAAUGAUUCCCCAUCCCUUUUUUGUCCGAAAGGUGCUUUGUCAUCAUUCUCUACUACUUCUUUGGGUUGAAAUUUAACGUCUCCCUGCUCCCACCAUAACUGCACUUUAAUUUACAGUCAAUGUUGCCCUGUUUGUUUAUAUUUUACGUCUUUUCUUUGAUUCCUCUCUUUCAUCCAACUGAGAAUCUCUUAUCUCUAGUUUAACCAAUUGUUGCUCUGUGGAUGCUCUUCGUUUCAUCCCCCAUUGGGUACUUGAAGAAAGCUGAGAAUUUACCGAGUGCCAUACAUAAGUUUACGACACUACCCAAGACGUAGGUGAUAAAUACUAGGUGGUUUUACCACGUAUGUAUGUUGAUUGGGAAGGGAAAAAAUUCUAGAGGAAAUUGUGGAGCUGCUCUCGCUUCUAAUCCAAGGGCUGCUUUAUGUUACCUCGUAUUCUAUCACAUCCACAAUUAUCCUUCUUAUCCAAAUACUUGUUUUUGAUUAUUUGCCUUUAGCAAAGUCGUUACCAUGAAACUGUGAAAGGAGCAUUUGCGAUAAAGGUUGGACUAAAAGUUGUAGCUCUAAAAGUUCAAAUAGAAAUUUUGUUUUCACGUAUAUGUAUGAUCUUGUCACCUUGUGAAUUUCUUUCUGCAGACAAUUAAUGUGUCUUUUCUUCUAAUUUGAUGGAAGACUUUAAUUAACUUUAAUGGUUAUGUGGUAGUGGCUACCAAAGGGGUCUUGAUCAAGUUGUUAAUAUUAAAGUUUCCAAAUUAGAGGUCGUGAAUUCUAAUUCUUCAUCUAUUUCUUUCAUCUCAUGACCUAUAAUAAUAAUGAUGAUGACUAAGUCUUUGGAUCCUCUACUACAAUUUUUGUGUUAAACUCCCUAUUUUAACGUGUGGCGAGGUCUACAAGAAAGUGUUGAGAGCCUCUUGUUUGGAUUGCUAUUUUUCUUCAAAAAAUUUGAACAUUUUUCGUAAAUAUAUUUCUCAAUCAUCUUUUUAUAUUAUAUACAUGAAAUCGUUUUAGUACAUUUUUCUAUGAAUUUUUUUUUUACCUCACAUACAUAAAAUCGUUACAAUAUAUUUUUUUUUAAAAAAAAACUAAAAAAAUGGCAAUCCAGAUGGACUCCUAUACAUUUCUCAAUCAUUUUUUCAUCUUAUAUAUAUGAAAUUAUUAUAAUACAUUUUUCUACAAAAAUUCUUUUUGCCUCGUACACAUAAAAUCGCUACAAUAAAUCUUUUAUAAAAAUUUAAAAAAUAGCAAUCUAGAUGGACUCUUAGUAAUUGAAAUUCUACAAAACAACAAAAUAUGCCGUCGUUGCUAUGGGACCGAAAAGACAACGUAAUCUUGUGUUUAUUGUACAAAUCUGGUUUCCCUUGCGUCCCUUUCAUGAAACGGCCACUUUUCUCAUCGCAAAUUUUAGGCUUUUCAUCGUAUCUCUGACCUUUCCUCAAAUUCGCUGUCAAUGUGCGUCUCUGUGGAGCACAUAAUUUAUCAGCUCUUAAAGUAAUGAACUUCAUCGAUUGAUUUACCAUUUGAAUAAAGAUACUAUUGGUAUUUCAAUUAACAACGUUAUAUAGGUUAUUUUCUAUCAAGUUUUCACUCUACAUGAGAUGAUAAGGGGUGAAGUGAAUAUAUUGAAACGUUAGGGAGGGUCACGUGGCAAUAGAUGAAAAUACAAAAGAAUUAUAUGUAAUUUAACCUAUACUUUGCUUACUCCAAUAUACUAAAAUUAAUGGCAUGAGAAGAAAGUUUUAAACAAGAAUUUGUGCUUUGAAUAGUACGACAAGAAUUUUGGAUUUGUUCUCUGUUCGACAAUUUGUCUAGGGGUUUUAAACAAUUAGCAACUGAACUCAAUUUUAAUGAUUGCCCGUUAUUCUUCAUGUGUAAAUGACGUUCAUGGAUAUCCGAUAUGUUAUCCAAAAAAAAAAGAAACAAUAACACAAAGUUGAUGUCAUUUAGGGGUGGGUGAUGGGUUGAAUAGUACUUAAAAAAGGAAGUGCAAGUGCAAGUAAGAAAUUUGAUUUCGAGACCUCCUCCACCCCACCACCGGCACCAAGAAGUGUAUAUAUAUUAAAUCCACUUUAAAGGUAGUACCUAAAUUAAGACGAUUACAUGUGUAAGGACGGUUUUGGCUAACGACACAACUAAUUAAAUAGCUUCGUCCGCGAUAAUCUACCAACCAAAACAGGAGAAACGUUUCCUUAAUAAUAAUUUUUAACUUAUCUGACAUCGUUGUCCCAUAUAUUAGGUGAAUCAGCUCAUGGGCCGGUUGCCAAUCCUGCAUUUCCACACAUACACAAAGCCACAACCUUUCGCUGUCACAGUCGAAAUGCUCUGCCCACCAGAUCGUACGGUUGGACAUAUAAAACCAAUAUUAGGACACAUCAUUGGCCUCCGCAACGUCACGCUCCAUGGAAUUAUAGGAUCCCACUAAAUCCCCUAUUUUAAGCAAAACAUAUCUCUAUUUAGUAUGCAGAGAUUAUUUUAAUGGUUGUGUUCGUUGUUUAGCAUAAGACAAGCAUAGGUUAUUAGAUUUGGACUUUGGAGCGCACUUUAAAUUUAGAGAUAUGUUUCCCAGGACUCAAACACCCACUAAGAACAGAAACGCCCCAAAUUAUAUAUGGAGAACAAAGCGGACAGGUGUCCGGUGGAUAUUGUGCCACAUACUAAUAUGUCACUUUAGCCGCCGGUGCACGAGUGGGAGCGCUGUGUUUACCGGCCCAAAAGAGAAACAAUAAUAAAAAAAAAAAAAAAAAAAAAUGAAAAGCGGAAAGCAAAUCGGAUGCCUGCCCAGCGGCUGUUUGGCCCCCCGCUCUGAAUUUCUGUUUUCUUACCCAAAAAGGCUCGUCAACUCGUGCCUCCCUGCUUCGGCGCGUCUCUCCUGGUUCUGUUGUUAGGCUUUGGGUAACUUGGAUCGGAGGCCUCUACACAGAUAAUUCCACCGUGUAAGUUUUAGUGUACACGCUGAAAUACCAAAUAAUGAAAAAUAUGAACUGUUUCGUAUCUCAUAUAUUGGAAAAAAAAUAUUUAUUUUUGUCCAUCGCUUCUAAAAUAAAACAAACGAGUCCCUCCACAUUUGAAAGAUGAAGCAAAUUAGUCUUGGUAUGACUACCUGGUUUAGAUUUUAGGAGUAGAAUUUGAACAUCACUUUAGUUUCUUCCAAAUCCGAUAUGCCCAUGAUAUUAACUCAACAUAAGAAAGAAAGAAAAAAUUUUAAAUUAUAACAUCAAAGACAAACCCUCCUGUAUAAAAAUAUUUUUUGAGCAAAUAAUAUUAAGUCAACAUUAAAAGAAAAACCAAAAAAAAUGUAGCAUCAACGAGGUUCUUAAUCUGAAUAAAAAGUUGUAUUACUUACAUUACAAAGAAAAGCAAAUAGUAAAGUCACGUGCGCUGAUGCACAUCUCUCAAUUAUUAGUUGUACUUUUAUAUAAUUUAACACCUCCAAUCUUAAUGUAAUUUUUUAUUUUCUAUCUUAAAUUUUUGAGUGUAUCUAUUUCUUAUGGAAAUUUAUACUCACACAAAUUUUAAUUAUUUCUUAAAUUGCCAAAACUUCAUGAAUUUGUGUAUAAUUUUUAAGAUUAUAGCAUUUGCAAUACUAGCAUGACUCUAUUAGAAGUUUAUUCUGUGAAAUUCAUUUGGCAUAUCGUGUUUUAAUGAUCCAUUAUAAAGAAGUUUAUCCCUCUUAAGUUGACUUGGCAAGUGCACACGGGUGUUGGCCAAUGGAGGGCUUUUUAGCGUCUUUCCCACGGUUAAAUUUAGGGUUCAAAUUCCGUCUUUACGGUUGAUGGUGGAAAGAGUGUAGAGAAGGGUGGAAGGGUUAAAAAAAAAAAUGCAUAAGGUGUUAAAAAAAAAAUGCAAAUUCAUAUUUUUCAAGCUAAUAAGUUCCAAAUUGUUAUUUUUAUGUUGCAUUUGUACCUUGCUUCACAUUUCGUUUGAGUUCUACAUUACUUAGGAAAUAAUUGAGAUUUUUAAGAUAUUUUUUUGCUACAUGUUUAUUUUUACAAUCACCAUUUUAUCUGACAUAAAUUAUAAAUAUAUGUUAUAAUUAAAAAAUUCCAAUGCAAUCGUUAAUUUUGUAAGUAAAUAUAAGUACUGCCACCAGUAUUACGAUAAACACUUUCAAUUGCUUAGAGUAUAUAUUUUUUUGUAAAUUUUUACGCUUUUUAUUGCUAAAAGUUUUAGUGCACGUAUAGUUGUAUUUAAAUCAAUUUAGCAAUUGUUAAAGAAAUAGUUAUUUAUUAGGUUGCAAUUGUUAUGUAUUCGAGAAUUAGUCAAGAGUAUUUUGGUCUUGUAAAAUAUAACCUCGCCUUAAUCAUUAUAAUAAUAUUAAAGCGUAAAGUGUAUAUAUUUGCGGUUUAUGGGACAAAGUGUUAACCCCAUUUAAAACUUAUCUCUUUCUUAUGUAGUAUGACCUCAACCAAAAAAAAAAAUUUUUUUUUUUGACCAUAUCAUCGCGGAUUUUUUUUUUAAAAAAAAAAACUUUCUUUUUUUAUAUUCGCAGAAACACAACAUGGAGUUACUGUGGUCCCUGAUGUAUGUACCCAAGAACCUAUUGGCCAACCUUUUUUUUGAAGCAAGCCUAUUGGCUAAUCUUAAACCUUGAAAUUAAUACCCCAUUCAAAGAAUUAAAUUAAGAAAAUGUCAGAAAAAAAGAAUUAAAUUAAGAUGAUGAAGGUGAUUCAGCUAGGUGUUCUUUCCAGGUUAGCAAUUUUGGCAUCACGCCAUGUGCUUAGGACACGUUGCAUAUUCUGUAAGGGACCACGCCAAUUUUUUCAAAAAGUCCACCACCUUCACUCCCCGCGCGUGACCUUAGAACAGAAGUCAUAAAAGCUUGGAAAAUAUCUAAACGGCCGGGACUCUGACGUGUAUCAAAAGAUGAUACCCCAAGUGGGCCCCCUUCUCUUGAGCCCAAGAAAUAUCGUCGUCAAACCCAAAUGACCUCCACGUUACCACUUGUUCACUGUUUUGCCACCUUCCCCACUUAUAUACCCUCCACCAUUCACCUCUCUCAAAUUCAAUGCAAAUUUUGCAUCCUCACUCGUCACCGCCACCGCUAUCAACCUCCUCCGUCACCGGCGACCGCCUCUUUUUUCUUUUUUAACCCCUUCUGGAGGGGUAACAGUUAAAAUAUCGGUAUAUGGGAUGGAGGCUGCUAACAACAAUAUAAUUGCCCCGUUUGUUAUGAAGACGUAUCAAAUGGUGAACGAUCCUUCCAGUGAUGGACUUAUUGCCUGGGGUAAAGCUAACAAUAGUUUCAUUGUUAUCGACCCUUUGGACUUCUCUCAAAAAAUUCUUCCUGCUUACUUCAAGCACAACAAUUUCUCCAGCUUUGUUCGUCAGCUCAAUACUUAUGUAAGUAAAUAUUUAGAUGUCGUCAUAGUUAAUUUAGAUUUUUGUUGAUGCGGUCAAAGUCCUACAUAAUUUCAAGAAUCUUUAUUUCUAUUCGUAAAAAUGAACAUUCUUGGCUUAAGAGUAGAGUAAAGAGAGUUUAGUUUAGUGGAUAAAGAGGGUUCAAGUUUCUCCUUCUACUUUCCUACUCAUUAAAUCCCACUCUUUCUCUGUUUUGAAGAGUGGGUUGGGGGGGGGGGGGGGGCGGAAGAAAGUUCUUUGUUUUGUACUUGUAUAUCCUCGUCUCUAUAAUUGAGGGUCGUGUUAUGUUGUUAAACAGUUACGUGCCAUGAGGAUCUGGUGUGGCUUAGUAGUUAGUAGUUAAGGGUCCUUUUGUUUUUUUUGGUCACAGUACAAGUGGAUUCCAUUUUUAUCCUGGCUGCUUUUACCUUUCCACAAAGUUAAAAAGAAAAGUGCUACUAAUAUAUGUGUGUAAACUUGAUUAUGGAAAUUUCAGGGUUUCAGAAAAGUGGAUCCAGAUAGAUGGGCUUUCGCCAAUGAAUGGUUUUUGAGAGGGCAAACGCAUUUGCUCAAGAAUAUUUCUAGGAGGAAGCACUGUAGUAGAAACUCAAGUAACAGUAGAGCUGAAGAUGAUGAAGAUGAUGAGGGAAUAAUAAUGGAGUUAGCUAGGUUAAAGCAAGAGCAAAAGGAAUUAGAUCUACAGCUCUCAAGGAUGAACAAGAGACUUGAAGCAACCGAGAGGAGACCCCAACAAAUGAUGGCUUUCUUGAGUAAAGUUGCUCAAGACCCUGAAAUAUUACCCCGUAUGAUGCUUGAAAAAGAAAGAACUAAAAGGUUAAAUAUUGCUAGUGGGGACAAAAAGAGAAGCAUAAUGAUGAUUUCCUCAACUUCGCCUUCGGCUUCUGUUUCUUCUCCUCCCUCCUCAUCAGGAAUGCCUUUGACAAGCUCUUCAGUAAAGAGCGAGGAGGAAGAGGAUGAUGCCAAUCUCGACGUUGAUAACUAUUGUCACUUUUCCUCUUCGCCGGAGACACCUUCCUCUGCAUGGUUCAGCCAAAGACCAGUCCUGGGUCGGUCCGUGAUUGCCCAAGAAUCUAGUAACAGUGGCGGCAAUAUUUCAAGCUCUCUGUCAUCGGGUUCCUCCGCCGGUAGUAGUGGUUCUACUGUUGCUCCGCCAUUGGAUGGUGUUCCGGCAAGUGAUGCUACGUUUGGUGGUGAUAUAAGUUAUGUAGGACGAGCUGCGGUCGGGGAGGCUGUUAGUCCACAACCGCCUUAUCCAUUCUCACUUUUAGGAGGCGGUUUCUAGUUAAACACUUUCAUAGAUUUUAAGGCUUUUUUUUUUUUUAGGUGGCAAAAUUACUAUUAUCGAGCUAUUUUGAUCAUGUAAUUCUUCAAACAUGUGCCUUACAUCAGAGCCUUAUAGGAUUAGGACCCGAUACCAUUCUUUAUAAGAUGGUAAAAUGGUGAUCCCAAGAAAAGCCAAAAAAAAAAAAAAAAAAAAAAAUUUGCAAACAUAGGGUCAGUUGUGUACAUUUCGUAUUUGAUCCUUAGCUUACUUAAUUUAUCGGGUGCAUUCUUACAUACAUAUUCUCCGACAGUGCUGGUAUUAUAAUGAUAAUGCAAGUUUCAAAGGAGUGCAAAGCGCAAGGAUGAAACUUAAGUUGUGUACCUACGGUUCUUUGCUUUUGGUCGUUUUUGUGGCCGAAGUAUCCAAUUGGCGACUAUUGUAUUUAUGCACAUAUAUCAUAGAAUAUGUUAAAAUACUCUUACCACCCUUUUUUAUUCCAAAAGACUAAAAUUUAUUUUUUGUCUACAAAAUUUAUUUGAAUGUAUUUUUCAAUCAUCUUUUUACUUUACAUAUAUCACAUUAUUAUAAUAUAUUUUUUUAAUAAAAAUUUUAAAAAAUAACAAUCCAAACAGGCUGUUACAACAGCGGCUUUUCUCCUCAAUAAACUUGGUAGGCAUGAUGAUGAAUUCGGAGAUGGGCAAGACUUGCUUAGUCACUUGGGUUGGGUAACUGAGGAAAAGAAAAAGUUACAUAGUUUCUUAUAUGAGUUAAAAUUAGAACAUAUUAGUUUCUUAUGUUGGAACAAUAUGCUGCUAAUUUUUACUGUGGUUGAUUAAGCCUUCAUGUUUGGUUAGCUGUCAAGAUUGGAAAGAAAAUCUAGAAAAUACGGAGGGAAGGGUUGGAUUGGAUGGUAAAGUGGGAGGGGUUGUAAGUAGAUUGGAAAGAAAAUCUAGAAAGAUAAGGAGGGAAGGGUUGGAUUGGGGUGGUAAAGUGAGAGGGGUUGUAAGUAGGAAAUCCAUUUUGAAAAAAAAGUAGAUAAGUUUAAUAUUGUGAAAGAAAUGCAAUUUUGGUCUCCAAAUUUUUUUUUUUUUAUAUUUGUGCAAUUUUAUUCCUAAAAUUUAGGCAAAAACAAAUCAAACCCCUAAUGUUUGACACUUGAUGCGAUUUUAGUAUUUAAAAUUUUGGUAAAAACAAAUUUAAUGACCAUUGUUAUCAAUUCAAAAUAGAUUUGGGACAAUUCAGUGGAUUUUUCAAUUAUUGACCAAAUCAGAGUAUAAUUUCAGAAACCACCCUUGAGGUUUUAAUAAUUUCAUUUAGCUCUCUCAAGGUUUUAAAAAUUACACAUAUUUCCCAUUGAAAAUUAUUGUUUUUAAAUAAUUUAAUGAAAUUCCCUUGUUUGGUGUGCUUAUUCUUAGAAUAACUUUUAAAAUUAUUUUUUCAUUAUUUUUUCCUUCGUAUUCCUUUUUUUAAUUAUUUGCUAAUAAAAUUGUAGAGCUACCACUAUUACAUCUAGUUUCUAUUAUAACUAAAUGUCAAACUAGUGAUUUUUUUUAUCAGUUAACUUAUAUGUAAUCCAAUGUUUUUUGUUGAUCUUUAUUUUCUAUUUUGUGCUAUUAAAAUUAGAAAUAAAUCAAAAAGAAAUGGCCCAAAAUCAUUACUAAAUUAUGAUAAUUCCACUGCUCAAAAAAUUCACAAAUUCUAAAUAAAUUAUUUCAACAUUUUCUUUUAUAUCAUAUAAAUCUAAAUACAUUAUAAAAUACCAUUAAAAGUAUCCUAUCAUAGUAAUAAAAUUAUUGUUAUAGUUGUAUAUCAAAUAGUAGGUAUGGACAUGAAAAAAUUUGACACUUUUUCCUUAUAAUUAUACUAGAUAAUUUUAUAAUUGCAUAGAAAAAUAAAUUAAAACUCAUUAUCCAAGGGCAUUUUUGGGUAUUCAUUUAAAAGUUUGAUCAAGUCAAUAUUAUUUUAAAGUUUUGUUGCUAAAACUAUCAAAUCAAGAAAGGUAGGUGUAAUUUUUCAAAUCUCAGAAGAGUUCAUUGAAAAUGUUAGAAACCGUAGGAGAGGUUUCUGAAAUUAUCCCCCAAAUCAGUCACGUAUAGUCUCAUGUUUGUUACAUUAAACAUCUAAAAAAAUAAGCAGAAUAAUGACUAACUUUGAACAACAAGAAUAACUAGUGCAAUUAUCAGAUGACUAACUAAUUAACCAAGAAACAAAAAUAAAAUUGUUAAACCAUACGCAAAAUGUAAGUGUCAAGGUUUUUUGUUCGGAAUGGAUUGUAAAUCGAUGAAUUAGGUACUGCGACUAGUUUCAGUUUUGUUGUUUAACAAAUUCAUUUUAAACUAGUUAAUUAGUUAGUACAUGAGUUGUUUUUGUCCUUAAUCUUGUUGUUUAAAAUCAAUUGCUAUUUUGCUUAUUUAUUUUGAAAUUCAAUUUACAUGACACACAACUAUACGUGACUAACUUCUAUCACUAAUUGAAAAAUAUUUUCAAAUAACCUAAAUAUGCUUUAAAUUGGAUACGCUAGGGACCAAAUUUGAUCUUGCCGAAAUUUAGAACCUAAAACUACAUAUGUACUAAACAUUGAGGACUAUUUAUUUUGGUCGAAAUUCUAAAGACUAAAUUGCACAAGCACUUCAUAUUGAGAACUAAAAUUGCGUUUUGUCCUUAAUGCUAGACUUCAAUUUAAGUGGUAAAAGAAAGGAAUAAGGUUUUGAAAUAGAAUGUUUUGAACGUCAUGACCAAAAUUUCAACAAAUCGCGACUUCAAGUAACCGAUCUUUCCGUUCCCUCUCAUUUUCCAAUUACUGUGCGAGUACUAUCUGUUUACACCACAAAGUAUAGCUCAAAGUCAAAUGCCAAACUUGACAAUGCCAGGGGUGCUUACGUUAGGACCGACUGCAGUUGCAUGAUUAGCAGGAGACAUUCACCCAAACUAUAUCUACCACAAAUUAUGCAUUUAAAGUUUAGUGAUAAUACAUUCAUUUUUCUUUUUGCUUCUAAAUCAAGCGUGCAAAUAUAAAAAAUUACCAGUCCACGUUGCCUAAGCGGAAUGGCAGAGGAGUUUGCUCAUUUCUGGCAUUGUAGGGUUGGAAAAGUAAAGAGACGAUGAGCCCACAAAUGAAUUGGAAUGGAGGCAAGCAAGGGGUGAUUUGUUAGCCAAUGAAUUAAAGCCAUAAAUGGAUUUGCCCACUUUCCCAUUCUGGUUCAAAAUGCUAUGACGAUGCCCGUUGCAAUUUGGCAGGUUAUGAUAGCUCCCGACAAGGUCCAGCUGAAGAGAGUCCCCACUCCCAGUCUCCUACUCCCUCCCAUCUGAUUAUCCUGCUUCCAUGUGAUCGGGCCCUGUAUUGGGAAAUGGUUUUACUUUGUGCGUCUGCGAACUUCCCUUUCGAUGCCCCAUGUUAAAGUGAACGGCAGGAGCAUCCGCUAGUUCUUUGUUGUGCCGGCGUCUAAAAAAUUGUAAAGCAGUAAUAUUUUGUCAAAUUUCGAAUCCUGCUCACUGCUUUGUUAGUAGAUUAUAUAUAGUAGUGCAAGCCUUUAAACUAGAUUUUAAAGACGUGUUUGCUUCGGAUUCCGGAAUCUGAAUUGAAAAUUGGAAUCAUGAACUUCGGUGUUAGAUUUUGGUCUUUGAUCCUUGCAUGUUAAUAUGGUUUGGGAGCUAAACGAAUUCAUUCCAUUAUAAAAUUAUUUAAUCAAUUUGGAAGUUCAAGCUAUAACUGAGGAGUGGUAAAAGGCAAGAUCUUACACUUUCAUUCUUAUUGACUCAUUCUCAUGAUGAUCUACCAAGCAAUAAAUAUGAGUAUAAUUAAUUUUAACAUUCCUUCUUACCCCUCGUACUCAUUUAUUAAAAACCACCUUAAUUUUUUAUUGAUGUCGAAAAACUAUGGAGCUGACUUAGUCAACCUCUAAACAAGACUCUCUCUCUUUUUUUCUUUUUUUUUUUGGCUUUCUACCAUCAAGCUCUCAUUGAUAAUUGACCAAGAAAAAGGUACGAUUUGCUCUUUACAAACUUCGUAAAUAAACAAUGUUUGUUCCUUCAUUAGCACUUCUAUAUUUGAGGUUCGAAUUUACUGAAAAUUGUAUCCAUAAUAGCAUUACAAGCUGAGCUUGCGCAAUAGGGUUGUAAUCAAGAACGGAGCUACAAUGAGCUUUCCCUAAUUAACCACGCUAAAUUCUAAAAAUUACAUAUAUAAAUUUUGAUUUUACUCCAUUCUCAGAGAACAUUGUUUCCUACAACCUCUCAAUAAAAUAUUUAUCUAAUGUGUUUCUUUUUUUUAAUUUAAAAUAAAUGGGACGUGUUGAAUUCAGAAUCUCCUACUUACGACCCGUCCCACCAUACUACCCAACCUAUAUUUUUAAACUCGGAUCGAAUCGGCCGGUCGAACCGAAAACUGGCCAAGUGCUCGAUCCGAGUUAUCCUAAAAAACUGGAUAGAUGGAAACUCGAUCAAACCAGGUCAAAAACUGUGUUUGACCGAAACAAGGAAGAAUCGAUUUGGUGUCAAAGUAUUUUUUUGAAAAGGUCAAAGCAUUUUCAAUAUUAUGUUUUGACCCUUAAGUUGUUAAAAAUUAUUAAUAUACCUCAAAUAUUUCUUACUUUAUAAAUAUUGUCUUAAAGUUUGGUGUUAUUUUUCAAUCAAGCCCAUAAUUUUAAUUCUAAACUUGUUAAUGUUCAUUGAAUAAUAUAAAUUGCUACUUGAUCGUUCAAAUUUCUUUGUAUUUUCUUGUUAAAUAUAUUUGAAACAUCAAAUAUAUAUAUAAAUAUAUAUAUAAUAUACCUUUAUUAAUAUUAACAUGCUCUUAGCUAUUUUACAUACGAUAUUUUAAUUUUUAAAUAAUUUUUAUUUAUGAUGUCGUCCAGUUCAACCCGAUUGAAUUCGAUCAAAUCCAUUGACCCCUGAACUCGAUCGAAUCGAUACCCGGUCCAAGUCUGAAAACAUAGAACCUAACCUUUUCAUCUCUAAUGUGCUACCUUGUUUAUUACUUUAUCCGCACUAAGUCAACACGUUUAAAAAUAAUAGAAAAACUCAUUUCAUCUCUUAUAGUUGAUCAAAAUCAACCAAAAAAAUGUUCAACUUUACUUUUGCUCUUUUUCUCAUUUCUCAAUGUACUCUCACACAAACCCAUUUGAAAAUCAAUCAUAUUUUUUUUCUCCAUACAUUGAAACUCCAAAAAAAAAAAUUCUAUAUCUUUCUUCAUUUUGUCAGGGAUUUGAGAAAAGUGAGAAUAACUUUAUUAGAACUUUGAAAUUUGAAAGUUGUUGCAAAGAUACCCUUUAUUGGUAGAUUUUUCAAAUAAAAUAGCACAAUCGGUCUAAAAAGGUAGUGGGAAAAAUUGAGAAAUUUAUGAAAUGAUAUUAGAAUAUGAAGACAUAUUGGGAACAAUUGUAGGGUGGUUAUGUAUGCAAGUUUUGAUGUAUGUAUUGAUUAUCUUGUAUUUAAACUUUUGUCGUUUCGAUAGUUUUUUUAUACUUAUUAUUUAAUAUGUUAAGUUUGCCCCCACAUAAUGCUAUGAUCAAGUUGAACAUGGAUUCAAAGUUCUGAAUUGGUGAUUCGAGAUCUAAAUUCAUUUAGUGGUACUGAUUCUAAGUUUAUUCUGAUUACUUAACCGAUUCUAGGUAUGUAAAUCCAUCCCUAGUUCCGAUCAAAUACAAAACUAAAUUCGACCCAUAAAUCAAUUCCGAUUUUUUUUUUAUAAAGUCAAUGGCAUGCAACUAUGAUGAAUUCGAUCUUUCCAACCUUUUUGUCUACUCAAAAAUUUGUCACUAGAACGUUAGAUUUACAAAGAAAAUCAUUCUAGCAUUCUGAUUCCGAACUUUCAAUCUUUAGACAUUAAAAAUUACAGACAUAGUGAGUCUAUAAAUCUUAGCAAUUAACAAGUACAAUAUGUAUCAUAAACACAACAAAUAAAUUUUCACAUGAAGUAAUAUGUACUUCAUUUAUUUGCACGUACGUAGACGCAUAUCUUAUAUGGGUCCAGAAAAGGUCGGAACUAAGUGCUUAUGUAAAUGAAACUCACCUGCCGGCUGCCAUGCUCAUUUUACUUGGGAAGAUCUUUUUGACUUAUCAUUUUUUAAGUGACAAACUGCACGUGAUAGAGAUUAAUCUAACAAUAACUUGGAAGUCUUAGAUGCAGUUAGCUAAUACCCGAUUUAUUAAUUCUGCAGCAAAACUUCUCAACAAUAGAAAGUUUAAAAUCUGAAAAAAAAAAUUACACAAAAAGAGGAGUUCUCCGAACUUCAUUUUGAUGGAAGAUUUGAGCAGCAAAUAAAAAACCCAUGGCAUUGUUCUAAUUUGGAGGGAUUCAGUUCAGUUCCCUUUGAAUCCUGUGUGAUCCAGUUAGGUCUCCAUCGUGUAGGAGUGGAUGAGCUUUUAAUGUGUUAGGCCAAAAAAAAAAAAUGAUUACUUAGCCAAAAAGCAAAUGUCGAAUUACAAAAUCAGCCUUGUUUGGUUUGUGAUUUUUUUGUAGAAAAUUUUUACAUUUUUCAUGAAUAUUCCUUAUAUAUAAUUUUCAAACAUUUUCCCGCCAGGCUAGUGCUCCUAUUACAUUUUUUUUUUUUUGUCGGACACGAUACAUUCUAUAUUACAUCUACUCCUAAUCUAUAUUAGGGGGAUGGGAGGUCAAGGUAAAACUCGGCAAGACAUUCCAAGAACAUUCCUACAUACCUGCUAGCGAAACAUUUCAGAAAAUCCUGAAUAUUAAAAUGCCUCCUACUCCCUCCAUCCUAUUUAUUUAAUUAUGUUUGGGGAAUCUAACUUUUUAAGAAUAAUGGUUUGAUUGUGAUGUUUGUAAUUCUUUUUUCAGUUUUAACCCCACAAAUUCAAAUUUUAAAUUUGAAUGGUAAGAUGUAUAUGGUUAGGAAAAAGAGUUAUAUUAGAAAGAGAAACUAAAAAAUGAUUUGACUUUUCUAAUAUGACAAUUAUUUUGAAACAUCCCAAAAUAAAAAGUAUACGGAGGGAGUACUUGCUAAUAGGGAUGUACGCGAGCCGAGCUACUCGCGAGUAACUCGGUCAACGAACAAGCCAUUGUAGCUACAAGCUGGAAGUUCAUCAAGUAGAAAACUACUUUUGCUUCUCGAACGAACUCUUCUGUUGUUUAUACUAGCCCUUUUGCUCUUCUUUUCUUUGUGCUUCGAAGGCGUCGCCGUCGCCGUCGCCGCAUGAUCUUGAAACUGGUAGAAAGUGUUGAUCAGAGGCGAAAUGGGGGAUGCAGGCGGACAUUUUUGACCAUCCUGAGUAGUAGUACGACGACUAUCCUCGGUUGACGCUGAGAGGAGUAGGGGUUUUUUCAAGAUUUUGUUGGAAAUACAGGUUUGUAGAUGAUCGUGAGUUCGGAAAGUCUGAGGGUGUUGUGGUCUGCAGAGGGAAGGAAAUGGACGGGGCUUUGGAGACAAAAGCUCGAUGAACUGGCGCUGCGGGUUUUCGGGGAGAAAAACGGGUUUUUCGACUGCGUCGGUGAUGUUUUUGGAGCGGCAUGACCCGAAUGAUGACCGGAACAUGCGAGAGAUUCGCAGUUUGAACCGGUUUUCCAUUUUUGGGUUUGUAGCGAAGCAGAGAUGGGAGAGAGAGUGAGAGAGAAGUGGGGAGGGGAGAAUGUAUUGACUAUUGAUGAAGAUGGUGACUGAAUAUAAUAUUAGUAUUAUGAGCCUGAAUUCAGACAGCCAUGAGAGAGAGAGAGAGAGAGGA